rnacentral:lncRNA from 1 species
UCACGACGAAGUUGCCUUUCCAUCUGCAUCUUCGAAUAAUGAGCAAAAGGGGCUCGCUCAGGAGAAGACUGUAGUAAAAGAAAACUAUAAAUAAUUAAGAAAUGUUGUCUUGUAUGGCUAAUUAAUUCGGCUUACCCCAACAUCAAUUGGUUCGGCUGAGAUAGGGGAUUGCCCAGUAGCCGAAGACGGUGUGAUAGUUUCUUGCGUUGGAAUGUCAGCCGAAGGAACGUCUUCGGCUCUGUCUUUAGCGGUUUCAGCCGAAGGGGUACUUUCGGCUUGUUGAAAUUUUCUUUUGGCCACUGAUUUGCGCCGUUUUGAGGACGGCGGAGGAGCAACCUGAACAACUUCGAUCGGUCUUUUGCCUGAAGUUGGGACCGAUGGAGAAACAGGAACUGACUGAAAAUAGAAACAAACAAUAGUGAUGAAUAAAGAAAAAGACGAUGAUUAAGAUGAGUAAGGAAGUGAUAUUUACAGAGGAAGGAGGCGAGGAUUCAGCAGCUUCUUCUGACUUUUCUUCAGAUACAGAUGUUUCAGCAGGACUAUCCGACCGGGUCUUGCUCGGAAAGGGGACUGCGAGUGAGAAGCAGAUAAGUAAAAUAAUGAAGAUUGAAGAGUAAAAGUUAAAUAAAAUAACAUACCAAUGGGAUGACGAGUUUUGUAAUGUGCAGCCGAAACAACGGGAGGAAAGGUUUCUCGGAGAAAAGAAUCCCAGUUAGCAUUGUAGCGGAAACCCAUUAUACCGGAUAAAUUCGGUUUAAAACUAGUCAAUUUGAAAAAUCGCCGGAGACGAUUUCCCAUGGCUGAAAUCCGAUCGGCGUCGGCCGUGCUUUUGGUAGGCGGGCGAUGAACGGCAGUAUUUGCCGUAAAAAAUUUUGCCGGAGCAGGAACUGCUUGGGUAAAUCCAAAUUGACGUGCCACGAACUGUGGGGAGUAAACCUCGGUGCUUGGCAACAGCUUCGAGCGUGUUUUUAGGCCAACAUGUAGAUCCCGAGGGGCCAAAAAAGAAUACCAAACAUCAAAAUGUUCACUGGCACGAGAGGAAGCAAUUUCACCUUGAAGGGACUCAUAUCUGGCCAAAAACCAAGGAGGGCCAGUGAGUCUGUCAGCAAAAGGAGACCAAAAAAUAAGAAGAUGAGGACUGGAAUCAUAAAAAACAGAGAAAUAAGUAAGAAAAUCAAGAGGAUGUCCCGAUGUCAAUGGUGGAGGACAACCAAGAGCAAGCCCGUAGGAGUCAAAAUGGGCAACUGAAUCUAUGUUUAGAGGUUCUUUACACAAUUUUCGAAAAUAAAUUUGCAAAAACAUCUGCAAAAACCAGAAGACGCCGCAGCCUGAGCUAAUGGUUACACCAUCCUCAGAGGGUGACGGCUUAACGGAAUCAAAAAUCUCUCUAUAGACAAAAGCAAGGAAAUAUGGCCCCAAGGCCAAUUUAUCGCCGUUAGCUAAACCAACGGCGAUUGGAACAAAAUCUCGAUUAAUUUUCUGCGAACGAGUACAGAAAAGAUUAUGGCACAGCCAAUAUAAGAGGAACGCUGUGUGCUCUUUUCUGGUGACCGGAGUAGAAGGUUCACCAGCAAAUUUCUUAAGAAAUUUAGAGUAGGCCAAAUCAUUGAGAUCAAGGUGGGCCUCAAAAUCAGACACGCCAUCAGGAUUGUAGGCCAUGGAGAGAGUGACGCCAUGGGGGCGUAAACCUACGAUGGCGGCAACAUCGAAAAGAGUUGGAGUAAGAGGGCCUCCUCUGAAAAGAAAAAUGUUGGAGGCAGGGGACCAAAAACAGAGAGCUGAGGCUAAUAGAAGGUGAUCAGCCACGGGAGGUUUCUUAGAUAAUUGGAUGGCUUCGAAAAUUCCGAUCUCUUUCCAAAAAUCACCAUAAGCAGAUUCGAUUCGAGCCAGCCAAGACAAAUACGCAUCUGAAGUACUCGGCCAAGUCCUAAGACUUCUUCCUGUCGAUGCCGAGGGGUACCAAGAAUGCAGAUGAAUAGCAUUAGCCAGUAACGGAAGACCUUCACUAGAAAAAGGGAAGUCCUCAGGAUUUGGAUCCUGGGUAAAAGAAGGCCCCAAAAUGAGCCGAGUAGGGUCCGAAGAAAGAUAUGGUUUGAGCAAAGUAUAAUCCAGCGAAGGACGAGUAGGCAAUGGUGGAAGAAGCGCCAUUGUUGGAAGCGAAAAAUAUACGAAGAAGAACGUAAAAGACAAAGAGGAGAAGAAGAUGAAAAGACAAAAAGAAACUUAGGAAGAAAGAAAAGGCCACCCGUCACACCAGUUAUGAGUUCCGAGGUCGGCUAUAAUGAUGAAUGGACGGCGGUAAUUAAGAUGACCUAAUUAAUGCCGCAUAUGAGACAAAAUUGAGAAUGUGAUCAAGGCCGUGGAGAAGAGAAUCAACGGCCAAGGUUAAAACCGUAAAAUAGUGUCACGAAUCGCUGCAGAUUUUGAUUCGACUGAGAAACACGCCUCGGAUCAAGCUUGCUUUCGGCAAUAGGAAAUCGAAGAUGGCGCCUGCUACCGAAGAGUCGCUUCGAAAGCUGCCGAGAGGGCAAUUGUUGGACCAAUCCGGCGCGGACAGUUGGCACACCGAGUUCAUAUCCAUGUUCAGGAUUCGAAAUGUUGGACCGGGAGCACGGAAGAAAUGCGAUAAGAGAUAUGAGCCGCAGUUGUUCAAAAACGUGGCAACCGCAAGCGGUUAUGAGCGGUUCCAAACGGCGGUUCCAAUCGGCCGAACGUGAUUUUCCAAAUCCGGAGAAGAUGGCCGAUCGUGCAAUAACAACAAAUGAACGCAAGGGCAAAUCUAUAAAUAGGCCUGUAGUACCCUGAAAACAGGUCUUCGCCCCUGCGCACAAAAGACCACAUUUAUUUUCCUGCAUCUUUCUUUUCUGCAUUUAUCGCUUUUCCUAGGAGUAGUUCCUGUAACUUAGCCUCCUUGGAGUCUGUCUGCCCUCCGGGCAUCACUUCAUUGUAAACACCUCGGAGUCUGUCUGCCCUCCGGGCAUCACUCCCUUGUACACCUCGGAGUUUGUCUGCCCUCCGGGCAUCACUCUCUUUUUAUUAAUAGAAAGUCAUUUCGGCUCUUCCUGCCGAUCAGAUCUCGUGUUGUUCUAGCCAUUUGGCUCAUCCCUCAGCCGAGAUAUAGGCUUCCCCUGUUUAUUCGGCUCAUCCUGCCGAAGCGGACGUACUGUGAAGAUUUUCGAACCCGGCUGAUUCGAUCCUUCAUCGGCCUAAUCGCUUGAUCCUCUGUGGGCGCAAACUUCGAGUGUCAUCAUCCGCAGCCGCUCAUCAUCCUGGCGCUCUUCCCGAGGAGGAUAUCUGACCUGGUCAAGGGUCGGGACUUUAGGCAGCGCAACAGACGGGAAUACAAAUGAUUUUGUCCUCGCGGGGAUUGGGACGAGAGAGAAAUCUCUCCAUUCGCUGAGGCGUAGCGGGGACGAAAUACCAUCCCCUAAUCCGCUGCAAAAUUAUGUUAUAUAUUAUUACGAGUUCGGCUGCUAUACUAUCAAUAACACUAGGAACUUUGUACUAUCAAAUUUUUCGUCGUUAGAUCUAUUUUUUUAAUUAUUUUCAUUCGUUAGAUUAUACUAUUCAACCAACCACCUGCUCAACCCUAGAGAACUAUUAUCAUUUUAACCGCAUAUUUUUCAUCCAUGAACCGAAAACCAAAUAGCACCAACGAUUUGGUACGAUUAAUAGUAUAGUAGAAAAUAGAUUUUUAUAUAUAGUAGAGGUUUAAUAAAUUGAUCAUAACCGUUCGUUUUUAUUUGAAAUAUUUUUAACAAAUUAAUCAUAACCAUUCUUAUGAAAUAUUAUUUUAUUUCUUUUUAAAUUCCGUCUGUUAUUAUCGGAAUUUCUAUACGCUUUUAUAUUUUACUAGUUGAAUGUACGUGCAAAUGCACGUAACAAUUAAUUAUUAUAAUAUAUUUCAAACCAAUAUAAAUGUGUACAUUAUAUAAAUCCAAAAUUUUAUAAUAAAAACUAUAUUUAUAAAUUAAUAUAUUAUAUUUUAUUAGAAAAUAUUUACAAUAUCCUAUGUGUUUUUUUUUUUAUAUACAUCGAACAUUUUUAUAUACUUUUUGAUUUUUGAUGAUUACAGAUUAAUCAUAACCGUUUAUUUUUAUUUGAGAUAUUUUUAACAUAUUAAUCAUAACCAUUCGUUUGUUUAUUAGGUUCUUUAUUAGGUUCUAACCGAGAUUGCCACCCUAAUAAUUAUGUGCAGGAUAUUUUAUUCCUUUUUAGAUUCCGUCUGUCAUUGUCGGAAUUCCUAUACGCUUUUAUAUAUAGUAUAGAUAUAGAUAUAGAUUAUUGAUUGGAUGGUUUAAUCUGUUUGAUUUAGAUCUAUUUUAAAAAACAUUGUAAAAUAUAUUUAUUUAUCUUCUUUAUUUUAUUAUUUAAUGAAUAUUAUUAUGUUAAAUUUUAGAUAUCUGAAUCCCUAUUCAGUUUUUUUUUUUGAAUAUCUGAACAAUUUGGAUAUCUAGAUAAGUUUUCACUUUUUAAUAUUUUUUAAAUUUUUUUUACAAAAAUAAUAUUUUACCUUUUUUUAACUCCAUAACAAACUUUUCUUUUUAAAUUCAGGGGUAAAUUGCAUGUUUAGUCCUCAAACUAUGAAGCAUGCGGCGCUUUGACCUCAAAUUUUUAAUUUUUCUUUAUACUUCUAGCUCCAACAUUCAGAAUUGUUCUAACUAUAACCUAAUUAAUUUAGUUAACUAAAUAUUGAUUUAUCGCUAAUGUAAAAAUAAUAUAGCAGCGAUAUGAUUAGUAAUGCUGCAACAAUAUGAAAAAUUAGCGAUAUGUUAAUAUUCGGUCAACUAAAUUGAGUCAUAGGCUUAAUUGUAAUUAUAAUAAUUUUAAGUCAAAAAAUUAUACUAAAUUAAAAUUUGAGGACCAAAGUGUUGGGCGCGCCAUAGUUUGAGGACCAAACGUGCAAAUUACCCGAAAUUCAAAGCUCUACCUCUACAACACAUUUUUGACCGGCCGAGCCGGUGCAAGUGGGUUGGUACCGGCAGUCCCCGGUCUUGAAAGUUGAAACCCGAGCCCGGAUUUUCAAGAAAACCGGCUCCCCACCAACUUCUCUCUUGACCAAAUUUCUUUUUAUUUUUUAGUAAAUAAAUAAAUAAAUAAAUAAAAUAUUUUUACAAAAAGAGUACGAUGAUCUGUACGGUUAAAAUUAAAUAAUAAAGUACAAUAGUUAAUUAAUUUUCUAAAACAUAAAUUUUUAUAAAAAAAACCGCUACAAAACUUACGAAAAUUUUCAGUUUUUCUGGUUCAACUAUUCAAACAUUUUAAAAUUUUGAUUUUUCUACCUAACAAUUCGAUUUAUCUGAUUUGAGCCGGUACCUUAUAUACUUUGAUUUUAAAAUUUAAGUUAGUUAAAAACUUCAACAAUGCAUUUAAUUUUAUAGUCAAAAUAUCGAUAACUAGGGCUUAGUUUGGUAUUGGGACUUAUCUGAUGCUCGUAACCGACUCAUCGCGAUAUGCGGAAUGUAAUAAACAAAAUAUUUUUUUAUCAUACCUUUUCACCGCAAGUAAUACAAUUUUUUUGAAAUUUCUCACAAUCCCAAACAAACAAAGUCUAACUCAAAUUAAAUAAGUUGAAAAAUUAAAUAACAAUCCAAUCAAAGUGGGUCCAUAGUUUAUAUAAAUUUUGAGCGUUUUUAUCAUUUAUAUAAUUUAGUGAGAUAUAUUAUUUAACAAGUAAAAUUUUAUGCUAAUAAUAAAUAUAUGAUAUAGAAAUAUAAAUAAAAAAUCAUCCUAUAAGUAAAAUAUCAAAUUGACACCAAGUGAAACAGAGGGAAUCUAUCUCUCUUAUCUUUAUUUUUCACCAAAAAUAUAGGUUCCACGAUAGACCGAGAUUUAAAAUAUUUAUUUUUAUAUAUAAUAUAGAUAUAUUAGUAUAUUAUUAUAUUAUAUAUAUCUGAAUAUAAUAUAGAUAUAUACAUAAAUAAAAAUAUAUAAAAAUAUAUAAAAUAUUCAGUUAUUGUUAUUAUUUUAUUAUAAGCAAUCCAUCACCACCUCUAAUCUCUCCUUUUAAAAGGCCAUAUUCUCCUCUCUAUCAUCAUCUCAUCAUCACUCUCUCUUUAUAGUUCUCUCUCUCUCUUAGAUCUCACAUUCUCUCUCUCUCUCUCUCUCUCUCUCUCUACCACCAUGGCUCUCCUCACAGAUCUCCUCAACCUCAACCUCUCUGAUCACACUGAUAAGAUCAUUGCUGAGUACAUAUGGUUAGUUCUCUCUCUCUCUCUCUCUCUCUCUCUCUCUCUCUCUGUUUGCUAUGGAACUUAACACUUUUCUUCAUGUUUAAUCCUCUGUUUCUUUUUUUGAAAUUUUUUCUCUGUUUUGGUGGUCUUAUUCUUUAUCUGUCUCUCUCUUCUCUCUCUCUCUCUUUCUCUCUCUCUGAGUUUGCUAUGGAACUUAACACUUUUCUUCAAUGUUCAUGCCUCUGUUUUUUUUUUUUUUUUGAAUUUUUUCUCUGUUUGGUCGGACUUAAAUUUUUAUUUAUUUGUUGGGUUUAUGUGUUGUAGAGUUUUAGCAAAUGGGUAUGUGGUACUUACUUGUUCUCAUCUUCUUCAUGCUUGAUCCUAUAUAUAUAUAUAUAUAUAUAUAUAUAUAUAUAUAUAUAAAUAUAUAUAUAUAUAUAUAUAUAUAUAUAUAUAUGUUUUGGUGGUGUUAUUAUUGAUUUUUAUUGCUGGGUUUUGUUUUUUUGUAGAUUUUUCUUCUAUGCUUUUCUCUUAUACAAGAUGUUCUUUUUUCUUCUCUUCUAUGCUUUGCUUUUGUUGGUUAACACACUGUUUCUUUUUUUCUUUUUUCUUUUUUUCUUCUUUCUUUCUUUUGGGGUGCUCAAUAUGUUCUUGUAUUAUUGGGUUUUUCCCAUUUUUCCAGUUUCUUUUUAUGAGUUGGGUUUGGUUUUAUUGUUGUUUGUGGUAUCUGUGCCUUUAUUUAGUUGUAUUAAAUUGCUUUCCUUAUUCAUAGUGCUCUCCAUUUUAUUUUUUUUUUUAACCUCUUAUGUUUUAAGGCUCCAAGAUUAUAGAUUCAUCACUGCUUUGUGUUGUUAGAUUAGAUGCUUACUCCCUCCAAUCAAAAUUUUUCUUUAGAUUUGUCCUAUGUGAUCCCUUUUCUUUUCUUUUUUUUUUUUGUUAAUUUUGAUUCCUGAAGUUCCUUUUAGUGUUCUACUACUGCUUUUUUACUUUUUAUUUUUUAUUUUUUCCCUUUUGAGGUUCCCUUUAUCUAAAAAAAAGGGAUCAAUCUCUUAAUUUCCUUUUCUAUUGUGUCUCUUUUACUCUCUCUUUACUGUAGUAUUGUAUGAAGCUCACAAAUUUUAAAAAAAAACAAAACAAAAAACAUAAUAGUAGUAUCUCAUCAUACUUUAUAGGAUUGGAGGAUCUGGCAUGGACAUCAGGAGCAAAGCAAGGGUACAUACUUUGCUUUAUGUUCUAAUUUUUAAUUAAAAUCUCAUAAAUUCGAUAUAUUUAAUCACAAUUCUUUUGUUAUCAGACACUUCCGGGACCUGUCACCGAUCCGAGCAAGCUCCCGAAGUGGAACUACGACGGCUCGAGCACGGGCCAAGCUCCCGGAGAGGAUAGUGAAGUGAUCCUAUAGUAUGUGUUCUUCUCUUAAUUGCUUAAAUAUCUAUAUAUAUUUACUAUAAUUGAUUCAUUGAGCUUUGUAUCAUUCACUUUUGUUAUGUUUUUAAGUCCCCAAGCCAUUUUUAAGGAUCCAUUCAGGAGAGGGAACAACAUUCUUGUGAGUACUCUUCUUCUUUUCUUUUCUCUUCUAUUCAAAUUUAUUUAUAUCCACAAGUUUUAAAUCAUGAAUUUAUAUCAGUUUUUAUGAUGAAUUUAGUUUUUUUUUUUUUGGUUUUUUAUUCAUAAUUUCAUAUAGGUCAUGUGUGAUUGUUAUACACCGGCGGGCGACCCGAUCCCGACGAACAAGAGAUACAAUGCAGCUAAGAUAUUUAGCCACCCUGAUGUUGCUGCUGAAGUUCCCUGGUAUUGCUUCUUUAAAUUAUUUAUAUGCCUUUAAAGCUUCAAACUUUUUCUUGUUGAUAAUUUUCGGUGAAUUUUGCAUUUCUAUUAACUGGUUUUUUGUGCUUUUUUUUUUUUUUUUUUUAUUAAAUCUGAAACAGGUAUGGAAUUGAGCAGGAGUACACUCUCCUUCAGAAAGAUGUUAAGUGGCCUCUUGGAUGGCCUCUUGGUGGAUACCCUGGUCCUCAGGUAUACAUACAUAUAUAUACAUAUAUUUACGCCGCUUUUUGAUCUUAUUAAUGCACUUACAUUGUUCUCUUUUUUUUAUUCUUGCACGUAUAAACUUUAAUAAUUUGAUUGAUUCAACUUUGAGUAAUAGUUACUUCGGAAUAGAACGAACCAAAAAAAUCCUUUCUAAUUUACGCUAAUAUGCAUAAUACUACGAUGUUGAAAAUUGGAUGUUUAUUGCGUUGUAUGAAGAUUUUUCAGGUUGGUUACGAAUUGAAAUAGUAGUAUUCACUCUACAGAAUCCGAUCAGGAGAUAAGGAGGGUGUUUUUUCGGCCUAUUUGUUCUUAUGUGCUUGCUCUAAAAAUGUAUGGAUAUGUGAAAAAUAGGGUCCUUAUUACUGCUCCGCUGGUGCGGACAAAUCUUUCGGGCGCGACAUCGUAGAUUCGCACUACAAGGCCUGUCUGUAUGCCGGGAUCAACAUCAGCGGCAUCAACGGAGAAGUCAUGCCAGGACAGGUGAGGACUUGACUUGACUUAUGUUUCUGGGUUACUCUUCUUCUUCUCUCUCUGAGAAAAUUGAAUAGAUACAUGUAAUGUAACAGGGCUUUCUGAUUGCUUGUACUUUUGUUUCUUCGUAUAGUGGGAAUUCCAAGUUGGCCCUGCUGUCGGGAUUUCCGCGGGCGAUGAACUGUGGGUCGCUCGAUACAUUCUCGAGGUUAGCUACUUUAUAUGUGUGUGUAUAUAUGUAUUACUUACAUUUUAGAGUUGGUUUCUUACUGAAAUUGUCAUUUUUGCUACUAUCAGAGGAUCACCGAAAUCGCGGGGGUAGUGCUUAGCUUCGACCCGAAGCCAAUUGAGGUUAAUAUUUCUUUCUUUCUUUGUUCUCCGCAUCUUAUUUUAAACACAGUAUUUGUCUUUAUAUUUGAUUUGAUGGCUUUUACUUAUGCGAAUAGGGAGAUUGGAAUGGAGCUGGUGCUCACACAAAUUACAGGUGUGACUGUCGAAACUAGGGGUAUAUACUUGGGACAUUUAAACUUUGCAAGUACUACUUUUUGCUGAUUUACUUUGUUCUGCAAGUUCAGCACCAAGUCUAUGAGAGAUGAUGGAGGAUACGAAGUGAUUAAGAAGGCGAUCGAGAAGCUCGGCCUGAGGCACAAGGAGCACAUUGCUGCUUAUGGCGAAGGGAACGAGCGCCGCCUCACCGGGCGCCAUGAGACCGCCGACAUUAACACCUUCCUUUGGGUAUAUACGCGUUUUCUUUCCGAAACUCUCUCUCUCCUUGCACUUGUUUGGUUAGUCAGAGCUUCUGCCGAAGUGUUGUUUGAAUAGAUCUAUUCAAAGAAGCAUAAUCAUUGUAAUAGCUUCAGACAGUAGUUUCAAAUUAGAGCUUUUGCUUUCGAACCCCAGAAGUUCAAAUUCUCUUGACACAGCAAAAAUUCCUUCUCAUAGAGUAGUUCUUGAAGCCCUUAGUCCUACAAUAACCUCUUUUUGAUCCACUCGUAACCACCGUCUCCCAUUUUCUCAGGGCGUUGCGAACCGUGGUGCAUCCAUCAGGGUCGGCCGAGACACCGAAAAGAACGGAAAAGGUACGAAAUCGUCAAAUUGAUUCUACUUUGUUUUACGUUAUUUGGCUUUACUUCUUGGGCUUACGUGGUUUGUUUCGAUGUUUUCAUUAGGUUAUUUCGAAGACCGAAGGCCUGCGUCGAAUAUGGAUCCCUAUGUGGUCACUUCCAUGAUUGCUGAGACUACCAUCCUCUGGAAACCAACUUAAAUUGCAGGAGAGAUUGGAAGUACUCAUUUUACUAUUUUUUCUGUGGAUUUUUCGAUGAAUCCAUCUCAAUGCGGACUAUGUUGGCAAAUCUAUUGUCUUAGUUUAGUUGUCUUUAGAUCGGGCAUUGUUGUAGUAGUUUUCACGUGUCCUUGUCGUGAAAUAUGAAAGAGUCGAAAGGCAGAUACUUGCAGUUCAUUCUCUCGCCUUUCAUUCUACUUGUAUUCUGAAUAAUGGCCGCAAUAAACAUAUCUUUCUCUCUCUCUCUCUCUCUCUCUUUAAUUUUUAUAGGUAGUGGACUAAAUUUGUUUUGGGGUUUUGGUUAGAUUCUUAGUUAAUAAAAAACUAAAUGUUUGGUUAUCAACUAAUCUUAUAUUAUGAUCAUAUCUUUCAGAUAGGAGAAAUGUUUCUGACAUCAUUACAGCAACAGGGAAACUGAGGUAAAAUAGAUCCAGUAUACUGUGAAUAAUAAUAUGUAAUAAUCUUUCAGAUGACAAUUUUUCAAGUAAUUGCAUAAAUAAAUGUUCAGUGACUAUGAGAUCAUUAUAGGAUAAAGCAAGGAGUGUUACUCAUCACUUUUUAUAAACCAAGGCUGUGGUUUAGUGGGAGCUUGACAAAGUUUGGCACAAGAUGCUUUAUUCUCAUUUUUGUUGUUAUAUUCCCUAAUUAAGGUUAGAUAAGCAUUACUCCUUUUACCCGAGCCCCAAAUCGGAAUUAUAAUGACAGUACAGUACUUAUUCCCAACCUUACACAGAACCUCUGUUUUGGGUAAUAGAAAUAAGGGGCCGUUUGGUUCGAGGUCAUGUGAUAUUUUCGUAAUGUUGUAUAUUUUAUAUUUUGAAUGGCAAAUUUAUUCCUAACUUACGAAGACGGACUUUUUUUGAAAAUAAUCCUGUAAAAUUUCAUAUUUACCAAACUAACCCUGCAAAAUUUUUAUUUGUGAAACUAACCCUCCUCUCGCCACAUGGGCGCCACGUCAGGGAUUCCUCAAAAAGACGGUGAAUCGUUUCACCGUCUUUGAUAUUUGUUGUGAAGGCGGUGAAUGGUUCACCGUCUUCAAAUUCUGAGCAUCAUGUAGAAUUGUAUAAAAAUAGAGCCCUGUCGUCGUCGAGCUGUCAAUAAUAUGGUGUCCUUGAUAAGACGGUGAAUCGUUCCCCGUCUUCUUGAGGGCACAGAAACGGCGAACUUGAGAAGGCGGAAAGGGGAAAGGACGGAAAGGAAAAUUUUGCACUAAAGACGGUGAAUGGUUCACCGUCUUCUAAAGGCGGUAAACUAUUCACUGCUUUUACAACAAAAAUUACAAAGACGGUGAACGAUUCACCGUCUUUUUGAGGAACCCCUGACGUGGCGCCCACGUGGCGAAAGGAGGGUUAGUUUUACAAAUAAAAAUUUCAUAGGAUUAGUUUGGCAAAUAUAAAAUUUCACAGGGUUAUUUUCGAAAAAAGUCCUACGAAGACAUUUUGUCUGGAAGAUUGUUAAGAAAUCGUAUAUUCUUAUUAGGGCAUGUUUGAUUUAUCUAUUUUAGACUGUGUAGUCGGAAUGGAAUUCGUCGAUUUCGAUAAUUGUUGUUUGUUUUACAUGAAUUGAAUGCCGAUUAUUCCUAUUCCACUCAGGAAUGGGAAAAGACUAAAUCCAUUUUUGGCCGAUCUGACUUCGAACUCCGGAUUACCCAUUCCAAAGUAAAUUACCUAAAAUUCUCUCACAUAAACACCUCUCUCUCCUCUCCUUCAUCUCUCUUAACCAAAACCCCUUCUCAAAAUCGUGAAGUCUCGUUCCAAUUUCUAUUCCAAUAAUAAAUCAAAUAUUUUUGGACGAUUCAUUAUUUUAUUUUUUAUUUCAAAAUAAUUUAAUUUUAUUUUUCAUUCUUAUUCCAAUCAUGAACUCUACAUGCCCUUCGGUAUCGCUUGGUUCGGGGAUAAAUAAAAAGUGGCUAUUCUAGGGAUAGGUAUAAAUUGAGAUAUAAGCGGGAAUUAUAUCAAUUUUGCGUUUGGAUGAAAAUUAGGUUAUUCCUGGAAAUAAAUAAAAUAGCGUUUGGUUAGAUAGGAUGGCCUGGAAGUAAAGAAAAUAGCGUUUGGUUAGAUAAGAUGGAAUAAGAAUUAAAGUGGAUAAUUAUAAAUAAAAAAUAAUAGUAUUAUCUCUUUCUUUAUAUUAGAAUUAGAAUUAGAAUUUUUAUAUUUUAUAUUUGUAUUUUAGAAUUUAAAAUAUAAACUUUUAAAUUUUAUAGUAAUAUUUGUUUGUUAUUAUGAUUAUUAAAUUUGAGCUGAAUUAUAAUAAUUUUUUUAAUUAAAAGUACGGAGGAUUAUCAAAAAAGUGAACCAAAAGUAAUGGCUGUUGGAAAUGGUAGCUAAGAUCUAUGCCACUGACACCUCUUCCAAUAACUCUGCUGAGACAUGAAAACCCAAUAGACAAAGCUGCUUUAUUGCCACUUUACCAAGUGGAAGAAUAAGAUAGGGCCUAUACAAUAAUAAUAAUAAUAAUAAUAAUAAUAAUAAUAAUGUCUAUGAAUCCAUUACUUUUGUGCAGUAAAGGACAAGCCUUUGCUUGUUUUUACUUGUCAUUAGUGAGGUGUGUGUGUGUGUGUGUGUGUGUGUGUGUGUGUGUGUGGCACUUUGGCAUAAAAGGACAGGGUCCAGAUAAGCCAUAGUUGAUAGCUUAUGGCAAUGAAAUUUCCUGUGUUCUUAAUUUACAAAUAUUCAGAUAAAUUUUAUUAAGUGUAUCAGAAAGCUUAAACCAUAGUUGAUAGCUUAUGGCAUUGGAGAAUGCACAGACAAGGGACUUGGGUGAUGACGUGACUAUCGUUUGGAAUAGAUGGAUAAAUAAAAGGGACUCGCCAUCUCCACUUUUGGGACCAACCGGUUUAAUAGCUCGUUGGUGGAUCAUCUGGGAAGCUAGAAACGGUAUGAUCUUCAGAUCGGUCAAUCCAGACCCAUUGCUGGGUAUGCAUAAGAUUAAACUGUUGACGGAUCAAUGGAAAUACUAUCUGUCAUUAAAUUUGCACCACUGUAAUCGCUAGGAUUCUUUCUCUUUUUUUUUCUUUUUUUUUUCUUUUUUUUAACUCUUUCGAGGCCCGUGUUGCCUCACCUCUGUAGCCUAGUUCACUUUUUCAAUGAAUGAAGCAGAUAGCGUGCUACCUAUUCCUCAAAAAAAAAAAAAAAAUAGUGUGAUUCUUUAUUUCUUGCCUAAGUUUGGGGGAGCACCAAAUAAAAAUAAAUUUUUAGGAGCACCAAAAUCCUAAGUGUUUCUUUUUAUAUUAUUUUAUUUACCCAAUAGUUAAUAGUUAGUAAAUAGCCCAACUUUUUGUAAUUGAUGUAAUAUGAAAGGUCAUAUUGGAAGAUUUCAACAGUUAAACUACAAUGUGAUAACUAAAAGUAUCACUGUUAUACUUUUGAAGAUACGAAAAGAAAAUUCAAAGACACAUUUAACUUUUUCUCCUCCACUGCUAUGAAAUUGGGUAUUAUCAUAUACAAAGCAUAAAUUGCGAACCCUAAAGGCACGCUCCCCGUAUUUGGCUGUAUUUGGCGGCGUGGGGCCCGCGUAUAUUGUAAGGGAAAAAGGUUUCCCCUUUUUUUUUUUAUUUGGCCGGUAUUACGUCCCAUCCUGGUUGAGCCGGUCUUUGGAAAAAAAAAAAAAGGAUUUUUUUCUUUCCUACUGUUUCCGUGUUGCGUCCCAUUCUGGGUGGCAAUUCUCUUCCGAGUCCGUUCUGGUAUUAUUAUCGGAGAAAAACACGAGUUGCAAUUACAAUUUUAUAUUAUUAGUAGAGAAAUAUUGAAGCUUUUUUCAAAUCUUUUGUACCUUUCAAAAUAUAAAAAAUAGUUUUAGCGACUGUAGUACCAAACUAGGCAUAAAUUAACUGACUCGCCAGCAACCAUAGGUAAAGAGAGCAGCACAAAGGUUUCUAGAAUGCUAUAUUUCUGUAUUAUUGAUGUGUUCAUACAUACAUGAUGAAUAAUUUUAAUUAAUUUAAACAUCUCUAGUGCUAUAUGAAUUUGCUAUCACGCUACGUCGGAGUACAAAGAAGUCCAACCCCACUAAUCACCGUCCCCCGAAAUCGAAAGGAGCAUUCUUUUUUAGUUGUUUUCCUUUCGUGCGUGUGAGAGAUUUUGACCUCUUUUUUUUUUUUUCCUCUUUCUGAGCAAUUCACGAAACAAGUAGCACAUCGUUCUAGAAAAGGGAGACUUUGCAAACGAAUUAGCAAAAAUAAAAAAGGAACUACAGCUCUACUUUUUCUAAAACCUACAUUUUCCUCGAGAAAAAAAAAAAAAAAAGUUACCAAUAAACAACUUCUAACAAAAUCUCAACCUAUUUCGGGUUUUUGUUCUUUUUUUUUAUGGGCAAUUGAGGGGAAAGUAGCUAAAGAACAUGUGAACAGUAAUUAUGACGAAGAUCAUAAAAAAGCAUAUAAUAAAUAAUUUAUAAUCUCAAAACAAGCUUUCUGACCAGCCAAGCCUGAGUUUUGUUUCAUAAAAAAAGUUUGGGUCACUUCCAGCCCCAUUGACAACCCUAAUGUUUGUUCAACAAAACUGGACUCUUUUACAUCUGUCAAUUACAACGACAGAAAUCCAGAUCACCGGAUCUCUUCCGGGAUCAAAAUUAUUUCUCAGACUACUGAACUACACAGCAUUCAAGAAGAGAAGAAUCUGAGAAGGACACUGAUAAAUUACGGUAACUAUAACAUGCCCUAUAACCAUUUCACAAAACAAAAAUCCUUGGAGAGAAAUCUCAUCCAGAAACCUCAACUUAUUGCGACGGCAGCUUCUCGCUUGAGAAUUUUAAGUGAUGACGGUGGGAGCAGAUCGGCCGGUGAACUCCUGCAUCUUUGAGAGCUUCAACGCGACAUCCACCUGCACCAUGAGAAGCAUUUAAGUGAAUCUUCUUUGAGUAAAACAAUAGCAUAGUUAUCUAGUUACUACAAGAGAGAGAACGAGGGAAAAUGGAAAGAAUGCCAAGGGGAGGUAUAUAAUCUUACAAGUGGAGCGAGCGCAUCUUGGGAAUCCCUCCCAGUCUUGGUAGGAUCCUUCUCGUACUGUUCAAUGUAAACACGGAUGGUCGCACCUUCUGAGCCAGUUCCGGAGAGCCGGAAAACCUAGGGUGAUACAAAUUUCGAGGUUUAGUAUAAAAUAGCGAGGACGAGUGAAAUCAUAUAAGACACAUUCCACUUUUAGACAACAGGUAAAUGGAAGUCUAAGAGUUCAUGAUGAGGUCUAAUCAUUCAGCAGAAGUGCUUUCCGAGCAAGUUAUUCAAGGAUGCAUUAACAGCCUUUUAAUAUAAGAUCCCCUUAAAAGAGGAACACAAGCUUCACACUGCAGAUGCUGCUUGGGUGCUUCUUUCCAGAGUGGAGAAGCUACUCCGCUCAAGCAAGGCCAAACAGGGUUCUGUAGGUUCAAAUAGUUUUCGACUUGUCACAGGGUUACUGUGGUAUAUGUGUGUGGAUGUUUGUACUGUUGUGGUUGUAUUUUGUACUUGUACGACGCCGUGCAAAUACAGGGGAGAUUCUGUCCGUGUGAACAGUGAAUUCCCUGUAUUUGUGAUGGAUCUGACAUACUCUGUAUUUGUGGUGCAUCUGACAUACUCUGAGAAUCAGGUUUUUUAAAAAAAAAAAAAAUUGGACGCUUCCGCAUUACUUUUAAAUCAAAAAGAGACCCCGGGGCGUGACAAAGUAAAGUACAGAUUUGAAGUGUAAAUGAGAUACAUUCAUAAUUACAAGUGCGCAUACAGGAAUACAUGCAUGGCUAACUCCAAGUGCACAAACAACUGCAUACACGAUGACUGCUGAGAGUUAUAGGUCUUAAAUUAAUUUACUUACCAGACGCGACCCAUCCUUGAAGAAAUAACGGAUACCCUGGUGCUUGGAGAUAGAACCAUCCACAGGAUCCUUGUAUUCAAACUCAUCAGCGUUGACCACGGGUGACACAUCGGGCUGUACCUCCUUUAUAAUCCUGAGGAAAUGAACAUGUCGAGUUAAUUCUUCAUCAGUUUUUAGUUGUUUCUGACUUAAAACAUAUAAUCAAUUGAUAGAAAGAGUGUCUACUUCAUUUUCAUCUAAUAAGAAAAUACUUUAUUCUUAAAUUUUACUCAUGUAGAUGCAUGAUAAUAUUAAUUUUUGACUAAGUUGGAGCUCUGUAUUAAACAAAAAAAGGUACGUAAAAAGGUCCAACAAGGAACAUGAGUUGGACUGUGUCCAUAUUAUGUAUCAUAACAUCACACUACUAGCCCAUCAAAAGGAAUAAAUCAUAAAAUAGGUUUUGAUUAAUGUUUAAACAGUAUCAUACGCUGGACAAAUUCGUUUGUUUGGGUUCACCAAAUUGAAGAUUAGCAGAGGUUUGACAGAUGUCAGGCAAUGAACGAAAAAAAAAAUCCAGAAAAAAUUCUAGAACAUUUCAUGUAAAUUUCCAUCAUGUUUAGUACGAAAGAAUAAACAAUUACAACGGAGCUAAUUAUUCUUCAAGCCGAAUUUACCAGAACAAUUUCAUUAAUUUGUUUGCUGAGAAGUCUCCCUCACUAUACUUGAAAUAUUAACCUAAUCCGUUUCCUUGAUUGAUUCCUAAUGCUACUACACAAGAGUAGAAACAGUCCAAUGUAGCAUCUGCUCACAAUGUACCAAUGAAAUGAAUAAACAUGUUCUUGCAAAGUUGAUCAGGAUUCAGGAAGAUAUUAAACAUUUAGUUGAUAACAUAGAAGACAAAGUAGAUGCUUUAUAAACAAAGACCUACAUGUGGACGCACUGUAAUUUUCAUAACACGUUGGACAUCUACUAUCACACAAUAGCUAAAUUUAAGGAGUCCAAAACGAAUGAGCUUAUAUAUAAGAGGAAAGGUUUCAGCAUAUGGUGACAUGAGGCUGAGGAAUGUAAAAGUGAACAAACAUUAGGAAAGAAUGUAGAAAAAGCUGUAUGGAAAAUGAUGGGAUCAUCGGUAUCUAUCUUGUAAUACCUAAUACUUGCACAUGCAGGGAUGCUCAAGUUCUAUGUGGUUUGACACAGUGGUGGAUGGGCUUACUUAUACUUGUUAUUUCUGGUUAUUUGCCAAACUCAUUUAAAAUAAAAAAGAUGCAAGAAAUAGAUACAACCAACAUUUUUUUCCCUUUUUUCUGUUGCCGAUGUGAACCCAUUGAUUAGCUUAUUGGCUUUUACACUCAAAAAGAACACAACCCAUUGAUAUAGAGUUUGCCAGAACCUCAGCCACCCAUAACAGGCUUGAAUCGCAUAACAACAAAGAAAAAGAAAGCCAAAAAAUGUCUAGCGAAAUUGAUUAAUUAAAGACUAAAAAACGCAUAAUAAGUUCAAAGUGGAACCGUGUAAAAUAACAUACUUGUUGACAUCAGAAAGAGAUGAUUGUAUUUUAACCAGAUUGGCCAUCAGGUCCUUAGCAGCACCUGCAUCGACAUUCUUCACAAAACAGCACAAACCAUAACACGUGAUUUUCAUUGUACCAGUAAUCAUCAAUCUUAUGAGAAUGAGAUAUGAACAUGCAUAAAUACCUACCUCAUAAUCAUAUCGAGUAUAAUAAUGGCGACCAUACGUUGCCCAGUGUUGACGAACUAUAUCUUCAACUGUGACCAGCUUCUUAUUCCCAUCAAGACUGUCCUUGUUCUUGUAAGCAAGUAUAGAAAGCCAUGCGAGAACAGCCCAAAUUCCAUCUUUUUCACGAAUGUGAUCAGAUCCUGCAAUAGAAACCAACAAACAUAUAUAUAACCUCUUAAAUAUGCUCAUUUAUUCAGAUAUUGUUUUUCUUUGGGGUGAAAACCAAUAGAUAAGCAAAGUUCACGAAUGUUUUCCCAAGCUAGAAACCUAGAUCAAUUCAUGGUAAGGUGUGAAAGAUAUUUGGGGACAAAUUUUACUUUGCCUCACACUGGUUCACACAAUAAACAGUCCCACUAGAAUCUCUGAGGAACCGGGAGAGAAUUAAAAAAAAGGAAAAAAGACAUUUUAUCAGUACAGCCGCAUAUUCAGACUGACACACGAGCAGGAAAAUAGUGCUACACAUAUAUGUAAGUACAUAUGGACAAAUAUAUCUAACAAAUCUAUCUCCCGACCUAACUCCGAGAUACAAAUCGGCGCUUUAUAUAUGUGAAACUAAACUCUAAUAUUAAUCAACCAAAGAAAGCUGUAGCUGCUACUUUAGGAUUGCAAGUGAGGAUUCCUUUAAACUAUUAAUAUUAUCAAAUUAAUAAAAUUUCAGAUUAUCCCUUUAAGUCCCGCAUCACUUUAGUUGGGUAAAUUUAUGACUAACUCAAAAGGAUAGCAAGAAUAUUGAAUUCAUAACAUGAUUUUAAUAUGCGCACCUCUGGCAAUAGAACUGGUGAUACUUUCAAUCAUAUUGAGAGAGAGGAAAAAAAAAAUCUUUCAUUGAUAUUACAUCAGGAAUUUUGGGGGAAAAAGAAUCAUGUGCUACAAACAUCCAGAUAAGGUACACAGAGAAAAGUCAUUUAGCAUUACUAAAACAAGUCAUUUAGUUUUACUUCCAACGGUUUAAAUCUUUCAUGUUGUAUUUAAACACUACAAGAUGCAUGGUGAUAAGUGAUCAAACACCGCGAAUCUGUGUAUCCUGUAUAUUUGUUUGUUAAUUAUUUGGCCUCAUUCUACUGAAAGUCUGAAACAAGUUAUAUAGUUUAACUUCAAAAUGUUAAACUCUUUUAUGUUAUGUUUAAACAUCACUAACGUCACGAUAUCCAUGGUGAUGACUAAUUAGACACCACAUACCUGUGCCAAAGCUUUCUUCACCACAAAUUGAGCAUAGACCAGCAUCCAUUAAGUUCCCAAAAAAUUUCCAACCAGUAGGAACCUGAAAAAACCAUCACUUUCAUGCCUCUAUAUACAAAAAGUCUACAAAGCUUUUUUCACCUCUAUAUACCUCAAAGAAUUUAAGAUUCAAAUUCUUUGCCACAACAUCAAGGGCAGCUGAUGUUGGCAUGCUCCUGCAGUUUUAACAAGCAUACCAUCAGUAUAAGUAACUCGACGAGAUGCCAAGCUGAACUAGAGGUUACCAAAGAUUAACACAUGACACAAACCAUACAGGAAAAUCAAGACAACAAUAGUGAAUCAAUUGUGUAAUCUAUACCACAUGGCAUAACAGAACAAAGGUGUGAAACAUAAACUCAAAACUAAGCACAUGCAUGUGGUAGAAUCAGGAAACUUCAUUCUCUAGCUCGUUAAUCUUCCAAUUAAACUAGAUUUCUCAGAGUAAAAAUCUCAUGAAGUCAAAAAAGAAAAAAAAAUAGCAACUACGCGAUUUUAAGUAAUUUACCAUACUAUAACCACAAAGAACCCCUCAUAGUUCAACAAUUCGUACUCCUAAUUAGACAACUUCUGCACAUAAAACCGUCUAACAGAUGACUGGCUACAUAAAAUUCACUUUCGUUAAUCAUGGUACCUUAGACAACUUCUACUGAUGAAGUUAGACCAUAGAUUUUGCAACAUGACCUACCUAAAGAUACCACAGAGCGUUGGGUUUGAAUAGACUAAAAAACAAUUACAGAAACAAAGAAAAAAAGGCAAGCGAUCAUCUCACAGCACUUUGUAUUACCAUAAAAAAAAAGGACCUUCAAUAAGUACCUCGCAACUCCCUUGAGACCAGAGGUAAAAUAAGGAAUUGCUUGAACAGCAUUGGCAGCAAUGAUGGCCACAGAAUCCGAUGGUGUGACAAAAAAUCUAAUAACCAAAGAAAAAAGUGUAACUUUAGGUGUGAGAUUUUUUUGGUCUUGUUUAGCAACGGUUCCCUAUUCUCUUUUCCUCAAAUUCUAUGUCAAUGAAUGUGUUGGCUGAUAGAUAUCCAAAUCUCUUGUUUUUGAUGGUCGGCUUGUGAUGUACCCAGGCCAAAUUUAUAAUGGCAUCUUCUAUUCUUUUUUAAUUUUAUUUUUGAAACAAAAUAAACUACUGCAAGCUUUUGUUUUUUUGUUGCUGAGCAAAGAUCAUAGGUGUGUAGUUGUUAAAAAUAUACCAUCUGACAGCACAUUCAAUCAACGUAGAAUUUGAGAUCUGAAAAAGGAAGUGUAACAAAAUGAGGCUUUAAUAAAUGUUUUUGCUAUUUUCCAGGUAAAAAACAAAUGAAAGUGUAAUUAAAUGAGGCUUUGAUGUAUGUUCUUUUCCCCCAACUUUUAACUCACCUUUUACCAAGUAUCAUGUUGCGAUCUGCAUCACCAUCAGCAGCAGCACCAAAUUCAGGUGGUUCAACUUCAGAGGCAGACUUACCUAAACCCAUUCGUGCGACCAAUUCUUUCGCAUAUGUAAGAUUAGGAUCAGGAUGACUACCUCCAAAAUCUUCCUGCAAAAGGAAUCAAGGAAAUAUAGCAUAUCCCUCAACAAAUAUCAAAUGAUUUAUUUAGGUACGAAAUACCUUAGGUACACAAUUUAGCAGCGAGCUUUCAUUAGCACCAAGCUCCUCAACAAAUAUGCGUUUGGCAUAGAUUCCAGCCACACCACUAAGAGCAUCAUAACUGAAAGUAGCAACAAAUAACUGCUGCACUCCCAUUACUGUAGCAAGUACAAUCUAUAGAUGGCAAUUAGGCAGUGGGAACUAGGUAUAUACCAGAAUGUGAACUUUGGAGAUGCAAGCAGCUUUUGGAUCGACUCAAAAUCAAAAAUAGUCCUGGCGUUGAAUACAGAAAUAAGUUAAUGUUAUAUCUAUAAUAUCAUGUUCUUCCUAAUCAUGUACCAUCAGAUGAUUCUAGCAAAUUUCCAUUACUAAUUUAGUCAAUAUCCAGUAUGUUCUCAACCACCUUAUUUAGAAGAAGUGCGAUUGACUAAGCAUUGCCAAAAUAAAAGAAUCUACAUGAGUAUUUUUUUUUUUCUCUAACCGAAUACUAAUGGCCUUGUGGGCCAGCUGGAGCUUUCCAGAUUUUCUUUCAAAGUACGGCAGCUCUAAGAAACACUAGCAGCUUUUUCUUAGAUAUCCCCUAAACAAGUUCCUACAACAGGGGAAGCAGAAGGUUCAAAUUAGAGCUUAUAUUUUUUAGGCUUAUAAGCUUAUAAGCUCAUUUUGGCUUCUCAUGACAACAAAAUGUCUAGCUCUUCUAUUUGCCAAACACUUGGCUGUUUCUCAAAGAGCUGCUCCAAAAUCUAGGCCAAAUAGGCACUAUGUCACCUUAGAAGCAAAAGCAAACUUAACAAAAGGACAGUUCAAACUGUUAGCUCUAGGACCUAGGCAUGUUUAGUGUCAUCUGAGGGAAGAGCUACAUACUUCAUCAACUUCACAUAAUCAGUGGUAGAAUCAAAGACCUCCACAUCAAAUGGCCCUUCAGGCCCACCAAAGCUGCUAACACCUAUAACGGAAAUAUCCACCUGCAGUAUGAGAAUGAAGUGAAAGGAGGUUCCCAAUACAAUGCAUUACAAAACGUAUAGACUUGAUUUUUAGCAUGGAUUCGUACAUCUGGAAGAUCUUCAGCAAUCAGGUAUUCAUUUAUUAUCUUUGUAUUGGCAAAGAUCUUAUCAGUAACAGCCUCAGGAGCAGGACCCCCAUUUUCCAUAUUGUACUUGAUUCCAAAAUCCUGAGAAAUGCAAAAUGGCAUAGUUUAUGAGCCAUCAGAAUAAUCAAAACCUACAAGAGAAGUAAUAGUAAAUUUCUUCAAAUAGCUCUCACAAUGGUUUCCAAAUUAGUGCAGAAGCAGAACAUGAGGCAUCAUCAGAUACCAAAUAAGAUCAUAGGUCAUCCGUACGCAUUAACAUGAGUUUUGGUUAAAUCUGGUAAAAGACAAUUUCCUUUUGACAAUGAGAGAAUCAUUACAACAAUGGGUUAAGAGCCAACCAAACCUUAACUAUUUCAGAAUGAUAGAGGCGAGCCAGAAACACUAUCCUUUCACCCUAUAACAGUAUCUCAUACUGUUUUCUUAAGACUCAAAAAACUAAAACUAGAAAACAAUUACAAUUAUAUGACUUCAAAAAGAGAUGUUCAUAAGAAGAGAUGGAUUGAGGCAUUGAGUGAAUGAACCAAUACUGGAUAAAGAUAAGUGGUCACCUGGCAAUAACAACAACUACGGAAACGUUACCCACCUUUAGACCUAGUUAUCUCUCCUGGAUUGUUAGUCUCUCACUUUCCUUCUGACAGUGAAUAAAACAAGCUAUUUUUCUUAAAAUUAUAUAGUUCACAGAAAGAUUAUACUUGUUAGGAUCAAAUGAAAAAUUAUAAGAGGAAUUUUUGUAAUUCUUACAAUUAUAUUCAUAGAAGCAAGCAUGAUCAAAAGGAGAGAAGCGAAGGCCAUAAUCACUGUUGAAGACUCUAUCGUCAAAUGGCAAACAAUUUUGUACAUUAUAAAAUGGAUAUCUUCAAUGCAUCAUGUGCACAAAAUUCCAUACAAUUGAUGAAAAACAAAAAAAGAAGGAUUAAAAAAAAUAAUACCAAGUAAUCAAGAUACCAAGAGUUUGAGGACAUAUAGAGCAAAAUUUAACCUAAAAGCAGAUCCAAAAUAAUGGUGAAAUUCAUGUGGCUAAAAGCCUAAACUACAAUGACAAGAAAUAAAAUAUUAUACAUAUUCAGUCACUUCCCAUAAGAAAUUCUAAGUAAUACAUUUUUUUUAUUCUGUAACUUCGCUUCAUAAGGCAAGUGAAAAAUCAAUUAGUAUGAGACAUUGAGAAACAAGUAAAUGAAUUAAAGUGAUAAUCAAACAAGAAGUAGCAAUUCAAACUAGCAACAAAUGAGUGCGGUGCUGCAACACAGGAAAACAGGGAUGCACCACUCUUGUGCCAGGACAGCCAAGCAUGCCACCAGCAUUUCGGAACAAUGGCAUCUUGACUCAACCCCUCCUUAAGUAACAUCAGAAUAUGAGAUUUUUGACUUACUCUAGACAACAAACUUUAUUUGUUAGUCCUCAAUUACAAUUAUUUGCACUCUACUAAUACUACACCCACUUAUCUAGGAAGCCCCAGUUCUUUUUUUCUUUUCUCCCAGCAGUAGUUCCUUACAUGUCAUUAAAUAUUGUGAUGUCUUAACACCUGUAUUAAAGGCCCCGAAGUAUAAAUAGCUCAUUAAAUUUUUCGUAAAAGAUUUAUGUAUCAAAGUAAACCAGCAUGUAUGUACACACAUACAUGUGCUGUAGCAAAGCCGAAUAUACAUACUUCGUCUCAAUCAACAAUGUUCACUCAGUUUACCCACUGUAGAAGAAUCUUCAUUAGGUCAUGCAAUGAACUAAAAGCAAUACCUGAAUUUAUAAGAGAAGGCAAAAGCUUUUUCUUUACUAAAUUACUCCUAACUUCUUUAGAUCAUUUUUAAUUUGGGUCAAUAUAAAAGCAAAUGAAAUAUGUCACAGGAUCUUAAUUAAUACAGAAGCUUACUUUUCAACAGGAAACUUGAACAUGGUACAAAUUUAAUGGUUCACCAAGUGAAACGUGAGAAAAAGAGAUACCUCAUGCGGACCACCAGGGUUGUGGCUAGCAGUUAAUAUGAAAGCUCCUGUUGCCUUUGAUCCCUGUGGUUAACAGAGUUAGAGAGUCAACUCAUCAUGUUCAGUUACUCAUUAUUACACUGACUUUGUCUACUUCUGCCAAUGUCAAGGAUCUAUACUUAAGACAGAAAAGCAAACUCACAUCUGCACCAACUCUUUCACGUAUAACACAUGAAACCGCAGGAGUUGACAGUAAACCAUUUUGCCCAACCCAAAUACGUCUUACUCCAUUAGCAGCAGCCAUCUUAGUUAUAAUCUGCACAGCAUUGGAAAAAGAAAAAGUUGAGAAAUUCAAAAUACAUAUUUAUAUAGAAAUCUACAAUGUCAGAGUCUAAACAAGAUAAUCUCACAGACAAGAACCAUUUAUCAGACAAUAGGUUAUAUAUUGGCAAAGGCAUGUUUCACUGAAAGUUGUAUGUUCAUUUAUCAUCACCUCAUGCAUUAUCAUAUAUCACAAGAGCUGGAUUAGAGAUUGAUAUCUUGCAAACAGAAGGGUUACUUUAUCGCUAGUAUGUGUAAUUGGGUCCUUAUUAUAUUAUUUAUCUUUCAAUAUUUUUGAAGCAUCAUUUAAACCAUGUUGAAACAAAAAACUGGACUAUUUUAAGACCCAAAAUAACUAUUCCUACAAACUAGCUCUCUUCCGUAUUAUUUAAAGUGCGGUUAAGAUGAUAUAUCAUGAAAAGUAUGAAAUAUAUUGAAGUACAAUUGUCCAAGUGGUUCCUACAAAAGAAUAAAGAUAUAAGCCUCAUCUAUUCAAUUAAGAACAAUUAACAUGACAUGAUGACCUGUCAGAAAACAAUCAGUAGCCAAAAAGAUAAAGAUGUACCUGAAUGUGCUCCAAAAGAAAAAAGUUAAUACAACAACAUACUUUAGUUAGUUUCUCAAAUUGGACGAAUUGCAUUACUAGCCCUAACCUUUUAGUCAAGAUUCACUGUGGUCCUUAAAUUGUAAGUUGGACAUUUGACACUCCAAACCUUUGAAAGUGCUCCACUUAAUUCCUUGGUCUAAGUAGAGGGAAAAUUAGUGUAUGUGCCUGGACAACCGUACAUUAGUUGACCACAUCCAAUGACCCUCUAUCGAUCUCAUACCUUCAAUGCAACCUACCAGGUUCUAAACUUCUAAUUAGAGAAAAGAGUGCAACUCAGCAGAUGGAGGACAUUGAUAUGUAAGAUGAGAAUGGCGGUUGAUGGAUGUGUGGCCCAUGGAUGUAAGGGAAAUAAUUUUUCCUCUGUCUAGCAGCAGAUAGGGACAAGAAUUAGGUGAAACACUCCCAAAAGUUUGGGGUAUCAAAUGUCCAGCUUUUUGAGGACCAAAGUGAAGCCUAGUGUCAGGGACUUAGAAAAAUUUCUAUGCAGCCCGAUCCCUCGUCCAAAUCUGCUUAGCGAGUUCGAGUUGAAAAUGGGUUGAAUCGGGUUGUCAAGUAGACCCAAACCCAAUCCGCUGUGGGAAACUCAAGGGUUAUGAAACUCAUGGGAGUUAUGGGUGACUCUUGAGCUUUUGGCUAUUAUGAGGGCUCAUUAUGUAUGCAAUAGUGGGUGAGUUAUGUGGCUAGUGGAUGAGUUGAAAAAGCUCAUUAGGCCUAUAAAUAGUAGGGUUGGCUAAGGCCAAGACACACAAGAGAGAGUGUGUUUGUAUGCUGUUUGUAGGUUGUAAUUCUCAUUUCUAAGUAGUGUAGUACUUAGCUUUUUGAGAGAACCUCUGCCUCUUUCUCUUGUUAUUUUCCCUUUGCAUACUUAGUAGUAGGACGCGAAGGUCCGGGCUAGCAACAGGGACAAAGGCUUGUCCAUCUUCGAGUAGGAAAGGUGGGCGCCGCACGGGCUUUGCGAACAAAAACGCUAAGUCCGUGACACUAGGCUGCGUUUGGUACUGGGGACAUCCCGGAACAAAAUGGGAUAUCCCCCAAUUUGUAACCAAAUGGCGGAAAAACUGCGAGGAACGGGUUGUUUCAAUCAAAGCAGGUUGUUCUAAGUUGUUCUGGAACAAAUCGUUAAAAAUUGUUCCUAGGGGAACUAAGAACAACUUUGUUCUUCUCUUUAAUUUAUUAGAUAAAUAGAUAUAUAAAUAAAUAAAUAUAUUAAUAUAAAUAUUAUUUUUAUGAUAGUAUAUUUAUAUUUAAAUUUUAUUAUAUAAUAUAAAUUAAUUAAAUUUGAUAUAUUAUUUAUUUCAUUAAGUUUUAUCAUUUAUAUAUUAAUAUUUAAUUAUUUUAUUUUAUAUUAAGUAUUAUAUAUAUAAAAUCACUUUUUCAUAUAUUAUAUAUAUUUUUUUAAAAAUUUGUAUUGAAAGUUAUAAUAUUAUUAAUUAAAAUUAUAAGGAUAUUGUUAGUAUUAUACUUUAUUCAUUACAUAUAUUAUGAAUAAAUUAUAUAAAAUAAAUUAUUACAUAAAAUAAAGUAUUAUAUAUAAUAAAAUAAAUAUGCUAUUUUAAAUUAAAUUGUUACAUAAAAUAUUAUAUUAUAAAUUACUAUAUGAAAUAAUUUUAUAAAUAAUUUCACAUAAAAUAUAUGAAAUAAUUUUAUAAAUAUUUUUAUAUAAAAUAUACUAAUAUAAAUUAAUUAUUUUAUUUUUAAAAAUAUAUUUAGACAUUGUUUUAGACUUUUUAUCCAAACACUACUAAGGAUAUCCUCUAGAAUAUCCCCGAAUGCAUCCAAACACAAAUUUACAAUUGUUUUAUCUUGUACCAAAAUAUUCCCUGUUCUCGGGAACAACAAAAGUUGUUCUCCAAAAUUUAGUUCACCAACCAAACGCAUAGAGAAACUUUUACUCUUUUCAAAGUUAUCUUGGUUUAUAUGCAAGCAUAUAUAAGUCAUUUCUUAAUUUAUGGAUCUCGUGUAUCAAGGUCAUUAUAUCCCCUCAAGUUGAAAUGAAAAUUCUCGAAAACCAGUUGUAAGAUUUGACGUUCUUACAUCUUUUUCAGAAGAAGAAACAAUUAAAAUGGCCAUUAAAAAUCAAUAAAAAAAAUGAAUUCUCUGAGGUAAUUUAAGCAGCAAUGUAAAAAUAAGACAAAUUGACGAGGAAAGUACCUGGAUGGCAUCCUUUGAGUAAUACCGCCCAUCACCAGAAACAACAAUUGUAGCACCUGCAUUUGAUAAAGAUAUUCAGAAAAUUGAUAAAAUCAUGGUCUAUAAUUAAUGUGAAUUAACAAAAGUAAAUAAUAAUCAUGUGGAAUUCCACGGGAACAAGACAGGACAAGGACGUAUCCUCAAAGAGAGAAAAAAUAGUUUACUCACCAAUUAAACAAAAUUGCUGGGAAAGGGUACUGGGCCAGGUAUGUGCGCCAAAAAAAAAAAAAAAAAAAAAAAAAAAAAUUGUGAAAAAAAAAAAAAAAAAAAAAAAAAAAAAAAAAAAAAAAAAAAAAAAAAGCUUGUGUUGUGCAGUCAUGAGAUUUUAUUAUUCUGAUCAAGAAGAUGGAUCUGGAGACAAGUCAUUAUAGCAUGCAUGCCCAAGUCAACCACAAAUAAUACAACAAACAAACCAAGUAUUAUUCAGGGGAAAAGAUAAUUCACUUGAACAAUUCCCCAAUGUAGCUGCCACGUAAGCAACUAAAGCAACUUUCAACAUGUGGUGCAAUAUACUCUUUCAAUAUGCGGUACAAUAUUCAUUAUGAUAGAGUUGCUUUCCAAGUUGCUGGCUCUUCUAUAACUUUCAAAAUCUAAUAAAUAUCUGAAAUCACUAAACUAAUUCCACUGAUGCUGUCUUGUACCAGAACACUGAAAUCUUAACAUGAGAUGUCAACAACAUAAACUAAAUCAUACAACCAUCACCAUAAGUCUCAUCUUAAUCCCGAUAAAACUGGACUCCAUUGAGUAUCACAUUAACUCUGGAAUUUGUUACAGCAUUGAUAUUGACAAAUCGUACUUAUCGUACUUAAGUGAUGAAAGUGAACUUAAUAAGCUUGAUUGAGUGGCAUAACUGAAUUAACUAGAUGCUCUCCGAUUCUAAAAUCAACUUGCUCUCCUUUUUCCCUAUUGCAUCUUUCAAAUGAUUGCACCUUAGAUUGCAUGAUUUUAGGAUCAAGCAGUCAGGGGAACAUGUAACUUGCCAAAUUGUGCUACAACAUAACCGAUGUCGCUGUACGUAUAUGGCGAACUGUAUAUGCAACAAUUACAUGAAUGAUAGAGGAAGAGAAAAGAAGAUAUGACAUUUAAAUGGAGUGUCAUGUUAGAAUUUAAUUGACAAGUUGCAACCCAAGUGACACUGAUUAUUUUCUCGGUGUACUCUUAAUUUGUUUUCGAAUUUCGAGUUACUUAUAGACACGAGUGGAUAAACAAAAGUAGCAAUGAAUGAAGAGUGUGGGAACAAAAAGUUGGUAUGAACUAUAUAGCAUGAAUGAUCCCAUGGUCCCACUGUUACGAUAUACAAUUCCCCACAAUAGAAUCCACAGCCAAUGUACUUUUGCUAAAGUUAGGGCACCACUGAUAUACUCAAUUUGCAUUUCAUUCUUCUAUAUGUGUAUUAUUAUCCAAACUUGAUUGUAAAGUGAAUUCAGCAUUAAAGAGGACUUAGUAACUUAAGAUAAAUAAGAAAAAGAACUUGGUCAGUCAUAACACAACUCUGGUAUUAUCAAAAAUAUUCGACAUUAUCCAAUCUUAUCAAGUCCUUUAAUCCCUUCUACCAGGUAUAAAAGUCAACAGAGCACGAUGUCACGGACAAAACUGUUUUCUUCGUAAAGCCCGUGCGGCACCCCCUUCCUGCUUGAAGAUGGGCAAGCCUACCCCAAGUCCUAAUACGGACAAGUCUCCCAAACUUAACAGCGGAAUACCAAUCCAAGCAUUUGCCAAGCUUGCUCCUGCGCGAGACUGAUAGCUCAACCAAUCGCCUGCAAUCGAACCCCUCGUCGGACUCCACGAGUUCCCAAUGAGCAACCCCAAUACUAAGGCUGGCCACCAAGCUAGGUCAUAUCCUCCACCAUUGUACCUCAUGUGCCUGACAGCAUCCACGGCCAUACCGCCUACACGCGGCCUGCUCGCUCGGUCCAAUGACACACGUCAAAGCAGCCACCCAAGUGUGCGCCACAAGCUCGUCUGUCUUCCAACGCCAGCAACCAGCGCGACACUCCGCACGCCUAUGCUCCGCACAUCCGUGCUUCGCAUGCGACCCGUACGGCACACGUGUCCUCAACGCUUCUGGCAAGGAAGCCAACAAGCCCACACCGUGCUCCUCGACCGUCCCCACGACCUCGCAUUGCCAUGGCGCUCCACGCCCUCGGUUCCCAUAGGUUCGCCACAUAAGGCCCCAUACAAACGAGCCGGCCUCACUCCGCGUCGCAACCCAUCUGACCCCUCCACGGCUCGACCACACCUGGCCGCACACACCAAUGGUUCGGUCUCUCAAGGUUCACUAUACGGAUACCGAUACUGCUUGCCUCACUGGGUUUCGCCCCUCUCGAGUCUCCAAGGCCUUCGCGCCCCACGAGUCUCCUUCGACGUGCCUCCCUUUGGCGAUCCUACAGAGAUCCAUCUCCUUAAGCCUUCGCAGGCGCCGCGCCCCGCGAAUCCCCGCUCAGCACACUUGCCUUCGCGAGCCUUGCCCUCUACUGCGGGCCAUCCGUCGCAAGACUAACCCUCAUCCGCUCGUACGCUCCCCCACAGAGAUCCGAGACGGCAUAAGGUAGUGCAAGCGAACCUAGGAGCAAAGCCUCCCGGGUGCUUCCCGCUCCACAAUGUCGUCGACCUCUGUCUCCGACAUUGCCCUAGGCCCGUGACUCUUCAACCAUCCGUUGCACAGUCACACGAAACACUAGGUUUGGCUACUCCGCUAGCCAAGGGACGACCCAUGUCCUAUGAGUCGGCGGGGGAGUCGAGGCCACUCUACGCAGUGUCCACCCCUCCUCUUAUAUACCAUGCAAGACAUCCAGCCCUUUGGCACCCCGGGGGUACAAAGGUGCCCACCGAGGGGUACGUUUUAAAACCCCGCAUGCGGUACCAAAAUCCUUGCCAUGGCAUGGGCCAUUGCUAGGGAAUUGCCUCCGUAGACUUGACAGCGGCUCCAACCUGACGAAACGCUUCAACUCCGUAAUUCCAUAACUUCGUCAACUCAAUGACUACCAAAUGUGGCCCCCCAAGAGCGUCACGGUCGAGCCCCAACGAUCGACCCGUGACAACGAGCUUUGCAUCUUUCCCCUCUUAAUGUACUCUUGCUGAAUCACUAGAUGGUAGCUGUCUGCUUAUAAGAGUUAAAUAGACAUUGGCAUGGGAGUCAAGCACCUCUAAAAAGAUUACCAUAGAAAAUGUCACUAAUCCAGAUGCUACAUAUGGACAUACAAAUAUGAACAAAUAUAUUACAUAAAAAUUAAGUAUUCAUGCCAAAAAAAAUAAAAUAACAACAAUUAGUGAAUCAGUCGAACAUACAGAUCAGACAUUAACUAAUCAGACAUCAACUAACUGUUCCAUCUUAACCAAACAGAACAAAUUAAAAGGAUCGAUUACCAACCUUUAACUUUUUCAACAGAAAGCGCAUUAAAUGUCGACUGAACGAAGUUCUGAAGAUAAUUAGGCUGCUUAAACACAGUCACCUGACAUGGAUUCCAAAGUCAGUUUAUCUUAUUGACCAAGAAAUAACAAAAAUCAAGUGAAUGUAAUCAGAAGAAUAUGUGAUUAACACCGAUUAUUUUAAAUCAAUGAAUCAAAACUUCUUGAGAAUUUUUCAUAAUUUCAGGCAUUAGUAUCCAAAAUCCGCUACCCUACUUCUCAACCAAUUUGACCUUCCUUUCAAAUUCUUAAAAAUCAUAGUAAAUCCGCUUAAUUUUCUCAUUACCGAUUAUCUUAAAUCAAUGAAUUAAGAAUUUUUCAUAAUUUCAGGCAUUAGUAUCCGAAAUCCGCUACCCUGCUUCACAACCAAUUUGACCUUCCUUUAAUUCUUAAAAAAAUCAUAGUAAACCUACAUAAUUUUCUCAUUACACACUUCUCUAAAACAACACCCAACUAGAUCGAGAAGAGUGAUCCGCUACUCUUCAUCGAAAAGCAACAUUCGCCAUUUCAAACACUCGGUUCUUAUCAAAUCUUCCGAAUCAUCAAAUUCCACACCAAUUGAAGCAUCCCGAAUCCGACGAUCAGAUCCAAAACAACGAAAUCCAACUCAAAUUGACAAAACUAGAUUGAGAUCGAUACCCCGGUACACAAAAGGCAACAAAUCCGAUCCCCAGAUCCAAGUCGAAUUCCGAGGGACCGAGGGCGAGAAAAGGGAGAGGGUCGAGGGGAGAUCUCACCUUCUUCCUGAGCCCCGAUGUUCCGGGCUUCUGGCCCUCGAUGGGCUUCGUCUCCUUCCGCACCACCGAGAACACCACCAUUGUUGGAGCUUCCGAGAGAUCCGAAGAGACAGAAAGAGAGAGAUCUAGAGAGAGAGACAGAGAGAGAGAGAGAGAGAGAGAGAGAGAGAGAGAGAGAGGUGGAGGAGAAACGUGGAAGAGAAAAGGAGAGAGGAGGGGAGGGUGAUAGGAGGAGAGUGGCGAGGGAGUGGUGGUAUUCCGAUUCUUAUAUUCUGGGGUUGGCAAAUUUAUGGAGACCCCCUCAACUAUACACGUCCUUAAACAAACCCAUAAACUUUACGUAUUUCACCCGUUGCUUUUUUAUAUUUUUUUUUUAUUUAACAUUCUAAUUAGUACAAGUUUUAUUGAAUUUACUAACUAGGGCAUUGUUAUAUAAUUGAUUUUUAUUUUCUUAAAAUACUAUAUUAAUAUAAAAAUAGUAAUGAAUGAUAGAAUACUUGUAUUUUUUUGCUAUUAUUAUAAGUUAACCAUACAUUGAUAGCAAAAAAAAAUUACCGAUAUAUGUAAUUACACAAAAUGAGUAUUUUUAAAAAAAUUAAAAGAAAUAAUAAUGUCAAAUAAGAUCCACACCCAUACGAUCUAUUAACUAGUAAUCAUUUUAAUUUGUUUGGCUCAAAUUACCGAUUCAUCCUUUACAAAAGAAGCCAAAAUGUUAGGGGUGCAAAGAGACUAUUUUGGAAAUAGUCUAUAGUUGAGGGGGCUUCGUGCAUAUUUUACCAAUGCGUGCGGUGGUGGCGGUAGGUUCUGGAACGAUGCCCACGUAUGGGGCACUCCCGAACCACGCCGGGUCCCGCGGCCCGGUUCGACCGGGCCGGGUUGAGUGGAGAUCGAUUCCACGGUUCGAACCCCCCAACCGCGGUCCGAUUGGUUAUCGGUUCACGGUUCGGACCGGUCCUGUUCUCGAUUCUCGAGAUGCGCGGAUAAAGUGCUCCCAUCGUGGAACGUUAACGGGUCGGAUUCGAAGCAAAUUUUUUAAAAAUUCGAAUCCAAACCUACCGAACAAAUCCAAAAUUCAAAUCAGAAUUCGAACUCUAUUACCGGCUUUGAAAAUUCACAUGUAAAACCGAACCUGACCAAAAAGUUAAAACGCGAACCCGAAAAUCCGAAUCCAAAACCAUAUUUUAAAAUAUAUUAUAUUAAAUAUAAAUUUUUAAAAUACAAAUUUAUAAUGUAAAAUCUAUUCGGACUUAAUUCAGAUAAAGAAAAAAAAAAUCAUGUCCAAACACGAAUUCGUUGGAUUUUUAUUUUUUAUACUGAUAUCUGUAGCAGUAUCCGAUAAACCUGCUUCGUUCGUUCGGAUAUGAAUAAAUUUUUGAAUAUUUAUAUCCGUCGAUAUCCUCCGAUCGAACGGCUGUAGUUCAUCCCCUCCUGUAUAUACCGAAUAGUGUGGACUAGAUACAACGUAUUUACCAAAUGAAUGUUAGUGGCUUGCAUGCAUAAAUUUAAAAAUUGAGAAUUAAAUGGUAGAUUUUUAUUUGCCCCCUGUUGUUUAGCUUAUUUUAAUAUAGGUUUUUUAUAGUUUAAAAAUUGUACUUAUUAUAAUUUUAUCUUUGUUUAACUGUAAAAACUUAUUAUAAUUUUGUUUAAUUAUAGGUACUUAAGAUGAAAUAAAAAAAAUUAAACCACAUUGUGGGGUGGCAACGUGAAAUUAGAUUAGAAAUUUUGACUUAAAUAACUCCUACAAUCCAUUAGAUGUUUAUUAAUCUUUUUUUUAAUGCUAUAAAGUAAUUAAAAUAAAUAAAUUUUUUUAAAAAAAUCACUAAUAAAUUAAGAAUGCAUAAAUUAACUUUAUCUGAACUAUAGCUUACUUUGAAAUAGAUUUACGAACUUCAAAAGUUUCUUAAGUUAGAUGAUAAAAUAAAAACUUCUAAAGUUUAAAUACCUACUUUUAAAACAAAAGACUCAAACUAUAAUACUAGCAUGUGUUUCUUAUUAUUUCUUAACUAUGUGGCUAGUAUGGUUUAUUUAAAAUGAUAAAGUAUAAAUCUAGAUGGUUAAUUAUAAAGUUUGGAUGGUAAAAAUAAAAUUUUAAAAGUUUUGGUGGCUAUCUGUAAAAGGGUGAAACUAGGGUUGACUCUGAUGCAAUUAGCCCUAAAAUAUGGCAUAGUAAGGCAUGAGUGAGGCAUGUACAUGUGCACGAACUAAUUUAUAUUUAUUUUAUGAGUUUUAAUAUCCAUAUUAUAAAAUAUUUAAUAGGUAUGUGAUAUAUAUAUAGAGUAGGUCAUGUGUGCUCUCAGGAGCACAGAGCCCUCUGUCUUCCUAAGCUAUUUUCAAUGAUGGGACUCCCGAAUUGACGAUCGACUUCGCUAGACUUGAUCUAGCAUAUUUGAAGUAUGUAGAAAAUAAUUUUUGCGAUUUUUCGAUAUCGUUUAUUUAGUGAUCGAAAAGAUUCAAAAUCAAUAAUUUUUAAUGGUCGAUAUCUGCCGUUUCAAGUUUAACGGUAUAGAAGUAUCCAAAUCAGAUGAAAUUCUGAUAGAAAAUUCUUUAUACUAUUUACAGCAAGUUCAAUAUCUCUGAUCGAAAAUUUUAAUACUAUAUCAUCACUUUUUAUGAGAUUCUUAUUUUCAGCCAUUGAUUUUGAACCCUUUCGAUCACUAAUUAAGUAAAUGAGAUCGAAAAAUCGCAAAAUUUAUUUUCUAGAUACUUCAAAUAUACUAGAUCAAGUAUAGCAGAGCCGAUUGUCGAUUCGGGAGUCUCAUCAUCGAAAACAACUCAGGAGCACGGAGGGCUCUGUGCUCAUGAGAGCACAGCAGCCCUGCUCUCUCUCUCUCUCUCUUUCUCUCUCUCUCUCUAUAUAUAUUUUUUAUUUAUUUAUUUACUUAAAAGGGGGUAAUUACGAAUAUACGUGUGAAAAAUUUCAGACUUUUUUAUUUACCCUUCUUCGAGGGCUAAUAUAAAAAAUUUACUUUUAAUGUUCUAAAUUCUUUUAAAUAUAUUUCUAAAGUGAAUCAAUGAAAUAUCUAUUCUGCUCUUUCAAAUAUGCGCUUUAUAUUAUCAACAAUUUUUCUUAUUUACUUUUAAAUUAGACCCAAAAAAAAAAUUUUAACUUCUAUGCGUUUUUAAAUAUACCUUUUUGUAGUCACCAACUUUUCUUAUUUGUUUUUAAGUUAAGAGCACAAAAGAUAUUUUGACUUUUUUUUAAAAUUUUGAUAGAAAUUUAAUCCGUAUUUAAUUCGAGAUGACUUAAUGGAUACUAAAUGUAUGGUUAUUUUUUAAUAAUAGAUAAAUAUACAAGGGGAUAUUCGAAACAAAAAAAUAGUGAUAUAUAAAAUAUUUCAGAAGUUUUAAGAGAUAAAUAGAUAAUUAUUCUCUUUUAAAAAUGAGGAACCAUGAAUUAGUGGUCCACCUACAAAGAUUCCCAAAGGAAUAACAAUGGAAUAUUCUUAUGUGAUUUCCCAACAAAUAAUAGCACAAUUUUUCUUUUUUUGUAAACAAUUGUUAAAUUGAAAUGGAUCAAUAAUUUUAUUUGAAAAAAUGGCAUUUAAAGAAUGAUAAUAAUUAAGGAAUGAAAACAAAGAGAGGAAAAUAGACAAAUUUGGAAAACAAUUUCAUCUUUUGCAUGCUAUCCAAAUAUGAAUGAAAGGGAAUUUUUCAUUUUUUAGAACAGAUAACAAGCAUAGUUAGGUUUCAAUCGUCUCAUACUUUUUCACAUCAAAUAAUUGAUUGUUUGUAAGAUUUUAUGUCUGACUUUAUAUUUGUAUUUAUAUUUGAUGGUACAAAGUGUUUUUUUUUUUUUUUGAAAGAUAGGUAGCACGCUACCCGCUUCGUUUAUUUCAGUUAUAAAUAAACUUAGCUGGAAAUAUGAAUCAACUAGGAUUCGAACUUGGGUCUCAAGUACCAACCACCAAACCCUUUGUCACUUGCUCUAGGGACGGUCGGUGAUGGUAAAAAGUGCUACACAUUUACACUAAAGACUUAUUUGUUGAGUGAAAAAUAUUUUUAAUUACCAUGUUUCUUUUUCAGCCUUUUUUUUUAUUAGAUAAAUUAUAGAAAAUCUUCCCGUAAAUGGUUAUUUUUUUUAUUUUUUCUUUCUGACAUUCAAAAUCUAUAUUUUGUGCUCUUAAAAGUUUAAAAAUAUUUUUAGAGGGUAUUACAUUAAUGGAGAGAAGAAAAUGACCAAAUUACCUAUAUUUUUUUGUAUAAAAAAUAAAAUUUUAAUAUAUUUUAGUAAUUUUAAAGGGUAUUUUCAGUAUAAAUUAUAAGAAAUAGAUGGAAUAGUGAUGGAACCCUGACGGAGGAGGGGCUAAAUGCAAUAACUUGAAAUAUUGAAAAUAUAAAAUGUAGGUUUUUAAAAGUUAAGGAGGAAAAGUAAAAAUUUACUUUUAAAAGUUAAUUUUUUUUUUAUUUUUUAUGUUCUAUUAUGUUUUACUCAAUGACCAACAUAGAAUAAAUCUAUUAUCUAUUAUUAUUACUAUUGUAUUAAAUGAGAGUUGGAUUACAUCCCAGAAUAAGAAAGCGAUGCGUAUCCUCCCAACUCUCCCAUCUUUACUUUUCAGAAAUAUUUUGUACAUCUGAUUUAUCUAUUAUCUAUUACGUUAUUACUUUACUUUUACUACAUUAAAAAAGAGUUGAGUCAUAUCAAGGGACAAGAAAGUAACAUGUGUUUUCCUAACUCUUGCACCUCCACUCCAAGAAGGGCUUUAUUUGCAUUUGGCCUCAUGAAAAAAUAAAUUUAUAAUUGCAAAAUAGCUCUACCUCUGCCACGCAGGCGCCACGUAAGCGCCACGUUGGUGGGCUGGGGUGGUGGGUCUGGCAAGUUAAACACGGUAAACCUUUCACCGUGUUCAAACACAGUGAAUCAUUCACCGUGUUCAGUUAGUUAUUCUACCGAGAAAAAGAUGGUGUACAAUACGUUUAUAGGAUUUACAUCAAGCGGCGCGAAUAACCAAAAGAAACACGGUGAACCAUUCACCGUGUUUGAACGCGAUGAAUGGUUCACCGUGUUCAAUUGCCAAGCAGGCGUCCAGCCCGCUCACGUGGCGCUUGCGUGGCGCCUGCGUGGCAGGAUAAAGUUAUUUUUGCAAUUAUAAAUUUAUUGGGAUUAUUUUUAAAAUAAAAUUUUUUCAGGGAGUCAUUUGCAAAAAAAGCCCCUCCAAGAAAUAUUGCGUGCACUUGGUCUAUUAAAAUAUAUUUUUGAAUUAUUAGUAUUUUAAAAUUAAAAUCUGAUUAAAUGAAUAUAAUUUACACUAUAUAAAAAGCCUAAAUGUAAAAAUAUUACAUAAUUUAAAUUCAAACUACUAUGAUGCUUUGAAAUAGAACCCUCAAACUUAUAUUUUUAACAGAUAUUCUAUAAUUUUCAUUCUUUAUGAUUAAUUAUAGUUAAUUAAAUCAAAAUGUUUAUCAAAUUUUAUAGAAAAUUUGACCAAAUUCAAUAAUUAUAUUAUUUUUUAUGAAACAAAAUUAAAUAACUAACAACUAACAGUUAAUAGAACUAUUAGAUUUACUAAACUUUUUAAUUUAUACAAAAAUUUUGAAAAUUAUUUAAUAGCUUUUCCUUCUUAAUUUUUUUUUUCACAUAUGCCUUUAUAAAAUAAUUAACUGCGAGGUUGCUUCACUAAAAUUAAUUAACUGCGAGGCUGCUUUAUCUUAACUCCCUUCACUUAACAUCUCUUGUAUCUUGGUCUAAUUGGUUUUGUUUUUAAGAGCAAUUGCUCUAUUUCAAAGAAUAUUAGCCUUCUAUUUGGGAUAAUGAGCAAAAAAGUAUUGUGUGCAGCAAGAAUUUCGAUAGAAAAAAUCAUCAGACGUUAAGAUUAUCAAAACAAUGCAUUCAGUGGGAUAAGAAAGGACGUUAUAAAAUUAUUAGUUUCUAUGUAACAACAGAUUGUGCAGAUUACACUAAUUCGAUAGUAAAUAAGAAAACAUAUAUCUUUAUAUUUUCGUCUCAACUCUUAAUAGUUUGAUCCUUAUUAAUAUCAGAUAAAGUCUUAAUCUUAUCUGAUGAGCAUAAACAUGCGCUUCAAAGAGGCAAAUUUUUAAAUCACAAAGAUCAAGGCACAUAAUAAAAUGUUGAUUAAAUCUUGUAAAAUGAUUGGGUUUAAAAUCCAAUUGGGUUGGGCUGGAUUGGGCCAGAUUCAAUUUUAUUAAACCUUGAUUAAAGUAAGAACUCUCAUUUAGAAAGAUGACAUUCUCAAAUUAGUUUCCGCGAAAAAUAUUUCAGAAAAUAAUUUUUUAGCUGUAAAAGUAUUUUAUGUUUGUUUAUUUUCUCUAAAAAAUAGCUUUUUUUUUUUCAGAAUAGUGCUUGUUUAUAUUUCAUCGAAAAGCAGUUUCGUCUUUCGAAUAAAACAACCAAAAAAGAUAAGAAUACUUUUCUAUAAAGUACGGAAGAAACUAUUUUUGAAAAAAAAAAAGAAUGUUCUAGAAACCAAAUAAAUGAAAAUUACUUUUUCACUUUAAUAUUGUUCCCAACUAGUAUUCAAGCAUUUUAUGUGUGGGUAUUGCUCAAGGUUUUUUUUUUUUUUUUUUUUUGAGAGAGAGAGAAAUAUAACAUCUUAUUUGAAAAUAUAAAAUAACUAGAGUUUAAAUUUGGGAUAUCAGGUACUAACCAUUAAGCCCUGAAUCACUUUCUCUACGAACCAUUGGCAUAUUACUUAAGAAUUUUAUUGUAAAAAGAAAAGAAAGAAAGAAAGUAAGAAAGAAAGAACAAAAACAUGAAAAAGUAAGGUGAUGAGGGGUUGUGUAUAGGGAUGCACACGGAACGAAUGAGGAAGUAGGAGGGAUCUCUCAUCUCCUGCCCCAUUUUCUCGGUGAGUUGAGCCAGAUUCGGGGUGGAUUAAUUUUUAUCCUAUUUUCAUCUCUACUUACUACUUUAAUCGGAACUUGUCGAGACUGCGACUUUUUGCUUGAUUUUUGGCGAAUCAAAAGAAGGAAAGAGUCCUUCGCCUCUUGCUCCAUUUAUCCUUGGCCUCCACUAACCGCCCCACUCAGGACGGAUUAGGGCGAGACGUCUACUAAUCUGGAUCCAUUUGCAUCCCUACCUACUUGUCAAUAACUAGAAUAGAAAGAGAGAGAGAAUGAUAGAGCAUAUGAGAAUAAACAAUGAAAGUUUAAAAUAAAAUCCACUAAAGAUCCAAAUUACGUAGUAGUUAACACUUAACACAAAUAUCCCAAAGAUAUUUAAAAGGGUACAAGGAAAGGGGGUUGGUUAUAAAAGGCUAACCAUAAAGAAGCCACACAAACCAAGCCAUGUAAGGCAAUUUGAUGUGAUAUGAAACUUUUAAUAUGCAUAUAAAUGACUCGUACCUUCUCUAUAAACAUCACAAAUUUAGGUCAUAUCCCAAAUGGCUUCAAAUUUGGACUUCAUUGUUGCUGUGUACUUCCAAAUCUGCUUUGAAAAGAGAAAUUUCAUAACCAAAUGUCACAUUUUGAAAUACUUUAUUCUUGAAUGGUAAUUUGAUACAAAAUAGUAUAUACUGCUAGAAGUUUUUAUUGAGACUACGAAUACGGCCUGAAUUACUAUCUUGGAAAGCCAAAAUAAGUAUUUCGAGCUUAGAAGUGAAACCGCCUUGAGAAUAUUUGGGACCCUUUUAUAUCAUCUCGUCUGGAUCUAGAGACAUAAAAUCGUCCUUAUCUUGGACUUCAUAAUAUUAUUAACGCCCAACUGGAUCCCCGCAAAUGCGUAAAUAUUAUUAAAAGAUAUUCAAUUGAGUUAAAGUUGGCGAUAAUUCAAAUUUCUAUUUUUAACGAAGUAUAUAAGGGCAUGUUUCUCCACAACUGCAAAUCUACUAUAUAUAUAUAUAUAUAUAUAUAUAUAUAUAGAAUUGAGCUCCUAUGCUUUUAAAAGUACCAAGUCAUUGGUACUUGUAACUUUUCGGCCCUUGGAUAAAGAAAUGUGCGGUUAAGAUGAUGUGGACUCCUUAGAGUUGAGUGAGUGGUUGGUUGAAUAGUAUAAUCUAACGGGUAAAAAUGAUCAAAGGGGUAGAUCUAACGGUAAAAAAUUUACAAGCACCAAGUGCUUUGUAUUUUUACAAGUACCGUAGCCGGACUCUAUAUAUAUAUAUAUAUAGUAGGGCUGCUAUACUCUUAUGAGUAUAGUAUCUUUUAAUGAUGGAGCUUGCGAAUUGAUGAUCUAUACCGUUAAAUAUAAUCUAGAACAUUUGAAACUUUUAUAAAAUAGCUUUCACUCCAACUCUUUUCCAUUUUAAUAUUUGAUGACCCUCAACACGCGAAAGGUCGGACCAUAAUCGAAUUCAUGUCAUAUCUAUGGAUCGGAAGAGCAACCAAUUAUCUCAAAAAUAUGUGUUAAUAGAAAGGACACACCCAUUGCACUUAAGGGCUCAACCGCAGUAUUUACAGAUUUCGAUCUGACUCAACCCAUCUGAAAGUUAGGUCUAUUGUUACGCCUCGUUAGGUCUAUUGUGAAUCACAGUCUCACUCAACUUAUCAGGCUCAUUCAAUUCAACUUAUUAAUCUUUUGGACCUAUUAUCAUAAAAUAAAAAGUUGAAUCUAUUUUAGCCAACACUAAUAAAGAGCCAACAAUACCAUCCACAAUAAAAAAAUAAAAUAAAAUUCUUUGCCACCUAAACAUUGUUCUUUUCUUUACUUUUGUUUUCUAAAGUCUCCCUCAUGUUUUUUGUCUGAAUUCAAAGGGAAUAAUAAAAAUAAAAGAAGUUAUCUUUCUAUUUGCUUUGCCUCCUCCAAUUAAUUUACAUGCACCUGUCACAUGAAUUGGAACUUUGGCCACACUUUUUUGGCCUCUCAAUCUCUUUUCUUUUUUUUUUUUCUCUUUCUUUUUUUUUAGCAUUUAGCUCUUUCUCUUGCUUUGCCAAAAGAGGAGAAUGUUCUUUUCUUGUUCUACUAAAACACUCUUAUCUUUCACUUUGUUUUCCCACUAAAUACACUUGGUAGCCACCUAAUUCAACUUUACUUUCUCCUUAAGCUUUGCAAUGUUUUACUCCCAAAGUACUCAAUAUAUAGUCAUCUUAUUGUUAGAGAGAGAUUUGUUUUGGAGAUCAUUUUGGAAGAAUUAGUAGGUAAACCACAAAACCAAACCGAACCGACAGUUUUGGUUUGAUUAGAUUUGGUUCGGACUGGAUUUAAUUGUAGAUGGUUUAGCUUUGGUUUGCGAAUGUCUCAAAUCAAAAAUUUAGGUUUGAUUUUGUGUUUACAAUUAAAAAACCAAAUUGAGAAAAUACAUUUCUAUAUGUAUAUAUGCAUGUAUCAAUAUAUGAGAUACAUAUGUAUGCAGGUAAAUAAAUGACUAUGGAUAUGUAUGUACCAAUAUUCAAAUUCAAACUGACAAACCGAAUCGAAACCAAACCGAAAAUUCGAUUUGGUUCGGUUCUUCUUUUUUCUCACAACGGUUUGAUUUUGAUUUUAAUUUUCUCAAAUCGGUUUAGAUCAGUUCGGUUUAAAUUCUUUUGGUUUGGUUUCGGUCUGAUUUUUCACACUACGAUUUGAUUUUGGUUAAUUUGGUUUCAAUUCAUUUUUUGCUUCAAUUUAGCAGCUAGUAACCCAAACGUAACAAAACUAGGUUCGCUCCUAGCAAACUGAUAUUAGCAAAGUAAGUUUUACUGUUGCGGGGUGCGCUCUACCUACAAUGGCCGUCAACCGCGGAGCGACGCUCUACCCGUUGUAUGACUCCAGCUCAGUCAACACCUAUUUCACACUUUCGGCUGGUUGUUGGCUCUGAUACCAACUGUAACGAUCCGAUCCACUAGUAAUAUAACUUGUUCGACUCAAGCCACCGAUCUAAAAUGCUUAAGUUCGGUUAUUAUUAUUAUGAUCUUUGGUCGUUUAUAUGUUGAAUUAUAAUUUCGUUUUCAUCCGAUAUGGAACUGUUGGGGUAUCACUAUUGUCAAAGCUUGUGAUUUGGACUUUUUUGCUCUAGCAAUAGUGUAAUUUGUAUUUGGAAAAUUUGUACAUAACCCAAAUCCAAUAAUUCUAUAGGACUAAUGAUUCCUUAAUUUUUGGUUCAAUCUAAAUAAUUUGGGUGGAUUUUGAAAUAGGGUAGGUUGGUUGGGCCCCAAGAACACCCUACAAUUUGUAAUAGCUUGUACACUUUCAACUAAUUAAAUGUCAACAUGCCAAAUGUCAAUUUCAUGGGAGCAUAAAGCACCUAACAAUAAUAAGUCAUUUUCCUUGUCUUUGCCUUUUUCCUUUAUUUUUGAAAGAGCCAAUAAUCCUUCAAUUAAAACCUACAAACUAAUCACAAGAGGAAAUGGUUAUGUAAACACCGUGGGCGUGUUUGGUUCGCUUUUUUUUCACCCUGAAAUUGAAAUCAGAAUGGGCGAAUCCGUUUGUGGGUGUUUGGUACGUAGGAGUCCCAUUCCGAUUCCGAUUCCAAUUCCCGAGUGGAAUGGGAAUCUCCCAAUCACCUUAUUUUCCGGGGUGAACCGGACGAAAUGGAUAUUUAAUUGGAUUGAAAGUUGAAUCCGGACGGAAUGGAUAUUUAAUUGGAUUAAAUUUAUUUGUUCAACUUUUUUAAUUAAAAUAUGAGUUUAAAUUUAGAAAUUAAAUUUUAAAUUUUAAAUUUUAAAUUUUAAUUUGAACUUGAAUUAAAAAUUAAAAUUUAAUCAAGUAUUUCGAAUCUAACUUAUGAAUUUGAAUUUAAAUUAAAUUUUAAUUUAUAUAAAGUUUUAUUCAAAUUUUAUUUCAAACUUAAAUUAAAUUUAUAGAUUCAAAUAAAAAUUUAAAUUGUAAUUUUAAGUUUGAAUUUGAAUAAAUCAAAAUUUAGUUUCAUAUUUUGAAUUAUUCACUCAACUUCAAAGUUUAAUUAUUUUUUUAAAAAAUAGAUUUAAAAUUUUGACAUUAUUUCAAAAUUUUGAUGUAAAUUUUUAAUAUUUAAUUUUUAAUUUGAAUUUAAAUAUAUAUAUGAUAAAGAUAAAGUUAAUAUAUUAAUCUGAUUACAUUUUUUAUAUUUACCUGAACCAAAUACCGACAAUGGGAAUGAUUUAUUCCGAUUCUGAUUCAGGUGAUGAACCAAACAGAUUUAGGUAAUGAGUCAUUCCGAUUCCGAUUCCAGCUUAUUUUGAUUUCGAUUCUGAUUCCGAUUCCGACUUCGAACAAAACACGCCCUGUGUGUUGGUCCCUCCCUCCUAUUUUUUUUUCUUUUUUCCUACCCUUAUAUAUAUAUAGAGAGAGAGAGAGACAGAGAGAACGAGAACGUCUCCUACGCUUUCGAAAUUACAGAAGCCUCCGUGCUUAUAAGUUAUUUUCGAUGAUGAGAUAUUUGAUUUGAUUAUCGGCUCCGUUAGGUAUGAUUAGAGAUGUCAACGGGUUGAAUUCAGGACGGAUUUUCAAAAACCCAACUUCUAAGCCAAACCCCUAACCCGAAUUCAAACCCGAUGGAUUUUAAAAAUCCAUAUCCAAACCCGAACCCGACCAAAAAUUCGAAACCUGAAUCCGAACCCAAAAAUCAGAACCCUAAACAUCUUUUAAAUAUUUCAAAAUUUAUUACAUUAAAUCUAAAUUUUUUAAAAUACAAAUUCAAAUAUAACAUCAAAUUUUUAUAUACAUAUUAUUGUAAAAUAAAUUUGGGUUCGGGUCGGAUUCUGGUCGGGUUCGGGUUUGGGGCGGGUAUAGUCAAAUCACAUCCGAAUCCAUAUCCGUCGGAUUUUUGUUUUUGAUAUCCAUAUCGAAACCAUAUCUGUUUAGUAUCGGAUAAAUCAGCUCCUUUCGGGUUCAGAUUCGGAUUUGGAUAAAAUUUCGGGUAUCCAUACCCGUUGACAACCCUAGGCAUGAUCUACGCAAUUAGAACUAUUUAGAAACCAAAUUUUAUAAUUUUUUGACAUCAUUUACUAAACGAUCAAAAGGUCUAAAAAUGACUAUUUUAAUGGCCGAUGUGGCACAUUUGUAAAUUCAACAAUGUAGAACAAUUCGAAUUAUAUGAAACUUUAGCUAAAAAUUCUACUUUACAUCAAGAUUAAGAUAAAUAUUUUCGAUUUGAAAUUUGAGUAUUUUAUCACUAUGUUUUGUAAGAUUUUUAUUUUCAGCCGUUUAUUUUGAGACUACUUGUUCACUAGACAAACAAAAUAAAAAAUUAUAAAAUUUGAUUUCUAAAUAGUUAUAAUAGUGUAUAUCAUGUCUAACGGAGCCGGUCGCCGAAUUGAAUAUCCCAUCAUCGAAAACAACUUACAAGCACAAAGACCACCGUACUUUCGAAAUUGCAGAAUCCUAGCUCUAUACGUAUAUAAUUAAAUGCAUUAAAACAAUUUGAAUGUUUGUCAUUCCCAGAUGACCACCUGAACUUUCAUAUGUUUAUAAUUAAUCAUCUAAAUUUACAUUCCAUUAUUAACUUUAAGUAACAACUGACAAAAUUAUGCUUGGCACUAAUAUAGAAGAGCCUUUUUAAUAUCAAAAUUCAGUCCUACAGCAAAAGAUUAAUAUUCAACAUUUAAUGUUAAAAAUUAAACAUGGACCAAUUUUUCUAGAAAAAUUAUCACUGAUCUGUGUUAAAGCGUGUGAAACAAUUAUUGUAACGGCACUAUUUUUAUUAUUUAUAUUUAAUGUUCCUUCUCGUGGCAAAUUAAAUAUGAAACUUGGUGAGAUUCAAACUAAAUAUCUAUAACUCUGGUACCAUAUUAAGAAUGUAAAAUAAUCAAUUUUUUCCCCCAAAAGCUUAAGCUUCUAGAAAUAAAAAAUAUUCAUAAUAUUUAUGCUCAAAAACAUACCAUUGAAGUAAUAUUUAUCACAAAAAUUAAUAGAAUAUAAAUUUACAUGACUAAUUACAAAAUUUUUGAAAUUUGUGGCAAAUAUGGAAUUUUUAAAGUUUAUCAGCUAUCUACAAACGGACAAAAGUUCAAAUAAUUUUUAUGAUUAUUUGUUCUUUUUGGAUUUUUUUUGAAAAGUAUUUUAUUGUCAAUUUUUAAAAUUUUCUUUUACAGGAUCACCUUCCUAAUAUGAUAAAUUUAUUCAUCAACUCAUAAUAUUAUGAAAAUGCUCUAUAUUUUUAUAUUCAAAUGAUAAGAAAUAAUCCCCAUGCAACAUGAGUUGAGUGUCAUCAUUAUCCUAAUAGAGUAAGAUCUCUAACAAAGCAUAAAAUACCCGAUAAGUUCUCUUGGCUCAAGUUGCAAAGUAACUAUGUCACCAUUUCAAACCAAAUAAUAAUAAUAAUAAUAAUAAUAAUAAUAAUAAUAGUACAAACUAUUUCUAAAAUAUUACAAAAAUGCCACUAAUUAGAAGUUUGAAUCCUUAGUUGUUGUGGCUCCAUGACAGUGAACUCUCCUCUACUGGAGAGUUUCUUAAUUGCUUGGACCAUCUAAUAACAUGCCAAUGCAUGUGGAAGCAACAAUUUAAUAAUGCAAGCCACAUCACUCUCUCAACAACUUUGCAUUACAAAUAAUUCUAUGAGCUCAAAACCAUAUAUAUGAACCAACCUAAAAAAAUAUUUUGUAAACAAAAAAAAAAAAAAAAAAGGUACAAUGGCACCCCUCAACUUCGGCACUUUUGUAACGGUAGUAUGAUAGUAUGAUCAUCCAAACUUUAUCAAAUAGUUUAACAGAUGCUUGUCAUCAAUCAAAAUUACUCUUAUAAUAUACAGUUAUUUUAGUUGUUUGUAUUGCAUAUAAUUUUAUAAAACUGUAAAAUACAAGACGUACUUCUUCUGUUCUAACGUAUGAAAAAAGUAAUAAAAAUUGAAGAUAGGUUCGUCCUGUUCUUCAAUUUGAACGCUUAAUUAUCACAACUAGAAAAAAUAAAUGCUUUUUCUUCUUUUGCAUUUUUAGGUUUUACCAGAAUAUAUACAAUACCAGUAGCCAAAAAACGAUUGUUUGAUUAGUAAUUUCGCUUGAGAAAAAGAGUCAAUUGAAUUAAACAUAAAGAACUUAAACUAAGGACCAGUUUGAUUUGACUAUCUAAUCUUUUAAAAUUUUAAAUUUAUUAUCAAACCUUUUAAUUUAUUUAAUUUGAGUCAAUCACGGGCCUUUUGACUUUAGAAUUUGAACGCAUCAAUUAUCUUUACAAGUUUAGCUAGUAUACAUUAUGUAAUGCUCCCAACUAUGAAUAUAUAAAAGUAAUUAGCUUUAAAUUUAAAGUUAAAAUACCGUUAACCGACUCAAAUUAAAUAAAUUAAAAAAAUUAAAUAAUAAGAUCAAAAUUUAAAAAGUCAGAUAGCCGAUUCAAAAUGAUUUAUAGUUACCCUUACAAAUUGCUAGAAUAUAGGGUGUCAUGGUACAUUUUUUUCCACGAAAAAAAAAAAAAAAAAAACCCUACAGCAGCUGGUAGAAAAUAACAGGAGGCUUACUUUGAAAAAGCUUAUAAAAAAUUCAACCACCAUUAAUAAUGGCGUCUUCCACCGCACACACACACACACAGUUCAAAGUGUCGGCUCACCAAACAAAGAAUUUAAAGGAUUGAAUUAAAACCAUCACACACAGUCACUGUCCAGAUGAUGAACACACACACCUGAACAAUCCCAAACUCACAUUUUGGCUUUGCCCUUAGAGAUAAAAAAAAGGAAACAUCCAGCAAAUGAUAGAAGAAGAAUAUAAUUACAAAACCAUACCAAACAAAGUUUUCUUCUUCUUUUUUUUAUUUUUUUAAAAAAAUGGGUAUUAAAAAAAAAAAAAGAAAGAAAAUGAGAAAGCCCUAGGAAGUACCAUAAAAAUCAACAAUUUGAACAGGUGGGUAUUCAUCCUAGAUACAUCACCAACCAAUCCCCCCUUAACAACAAUCAGAAGAGAAAAAACAUCUGCUAUGGAAUUGCAGAAUAAAGAGAGAGAGAUAAGAGAGAGAGAGAGAUAAGAGAGAGAUUCAUAGUUUGCUAAUAAAUGAAAAUGGAACCAAGUAAUAAUAACAAAGUGAUUCACUAAACCAUGAGUCCAAUCCACCACCCUGGCUUGGUGACUACUGGCUCAAGAUUUCAGAUUUUCAUAGUUGUCUGGGCCCUUCGAUCGACUCGGUCCGUGCGGAGGACCGAUCGUCGCCCCCGUCCUCGAUGCUUUGAGAUUCGUUCUUGUCCGCGGCCCGUACGCCCGACUUUUGGAUCUCCUCAAUCCGGCUCACCACCUCCGACAUUGGGGGCCGGUUGUCGGGAUACUGCACGGCGCAGUCUAUGGCGAGCUGGAGAAGCUGAACCAUCUCCUCCUCUACAUUUUGGUAUCUCAAGAGCUCGAGAUCGAACACUUCUUGGGUCCACUCCUCUCGCACGACCGAUUGGACCCACCGCGGCAGAUCGACCCCUUCUUCGUUUAGUAGGGCUUGGGUCGGGGCCUUGCCCGUGAGGAGCUCGAGGAGGAGCACGCCGAAGCUGUAGAUGUCGGCCUUUUGGGAGACCUUGUGCGGGUCGGUGACCUCCGGAGCCCGGUAGCCGGCCACGCGGGACGGGGAGGAGAGGGGGCCGACGAGGGGCGCGAGGCCGUGGUCGGAGACGCGGGCCGCGUACGAUUUGGAGAGGAGGACGUUGGAGGACUUGAUGUUGCCGUGGGAGUUGGCGGAGGGGGGGCCGGCGGAGUGGAUGUAGGCGACGCCGCGGGCGGCGGAGAGGGCAAUGUUCAGACGGGUCUCCCAGUUGAGCGGGGUCCGGCCGGAGCCUCGGUUGCCUGGAGUGAGGGGCACAAAGUAAAUGAUGAGAAAAAGAUUGAGAGAUUGCCGGAUGUGAAAUGAGAACAGAGUCAAGAAAAUGGCAUGGAUUAACUUCAAAGAUCAGGUGGAAUUGUUAGGAAAAUAAUAAGAAGGGCCUUCCAAUUGUAUGACUUUAGUUGUCAAAAUGGUGAAGUUUGAAUAGAGCUUUUCUUCAGUUGUUGAAUGCUAAAUAUGCAUUCACACAACCACCACCACAGAGACCGACAAAUGCAAGAAAUAUCCGAUGCUCCGGAACAUGUAGUUCAUCAAAAAUUUCGUCAAAGUGUGGCUUCUUCAAAAUUUAUGCGAGUAAUAAUCAUAUGAAGAAUUAAGACUCAAGUAUGAAAAGAUUAAUAUAUAUUUUGCACCCUGCUGUUAUCACAGAGCAAUGUUUUUAGUCAAAUUUACUAACAUAUAGAAGAAUGAAAUAGGAGCAAUGCGCAUAAAACAAGAAUAAAUAUAGGUAACACCAUAAAAAAGAAAUAGAGAAUCCUAGAAUACUAAUAAACAGUUGAAUCAGGGUAUGAUGAAGACCUAGUGAGCUAACUAUUGAGCCUAAAACUCAAUAAAAGAACAAAUUAUUUAAAAGCAACAUCAGAUCCAUAUUGAGCUGGAUUUCGAGCCAAAGCGAGCAUGAUAGACAACAUCUUUAUGAUUAAAUGUAACAAACUUGAACCAACAAUGAAACUUGCAUCGGAAAACUUGAAAAACAAAGAGUGGUUCCAAAUUGGGAUUUUGAGAAAAAUGUACUCAAGUUUAUAAAAGCCGAUUGUCGUGAUUAGAGAGAAUCACUGCUACAUUGAUGCAAUCGACUCUAUCCUAUUGAGCUUUACUGAGCUAAAUUUGGUUAAUAAAGAUGAAUUAAGUUUCAUUAGUUUUUAACAUCAACCUCAGAAUAAUGCCCUAAAAAGUUAUGCACUUGAGCAAUUUCUCAAGAUCUCAAGAUCCAAAACUACUAUUAUAACUCGACCUUAACCAAAAACUAGUAAUCCUAAUAAACCAAAGUUAAAACCAAGUCGACUUAUCAACAGGUGUGGAAGAAACACCAAAUUUUCAAAUAUUGAAACCCCAAGGUAAUGAAAUCUAAACCACAUUGUCCAAAACUUCGAACUAAGCAACAAAUUCAAGCAACCAACAUACGCAUAAUAGAGGGGAUAAUCAAAUUUUCUAAUCCAAAAGGCCAAUUGAAUUGUGUAAUCCCUAAAGGUCCAAACCACAUUGUACAAAACCUUUGAAAUGGUCAGCAAAUGAACUGGUAAAUCCCAGUUUGAAUGAAACAGGGAAUUGAGGCGAUGAUUGUGAGUAAAUAGAUAAUAAAGUUAUCAACUUUUUGAGGAGAAGAAGAAGAGGGUUGGGUUGGCUCACCAUGCAAGAGGGCGGAGAGGCUCCCCAUGGGCAUGUAGUCGUAGACGAGGAGCUUCUCGUCCUUGCUGUAGUAAUAGGCCAUGAGGGGCACCAAAUUCUCGUGGCGCAGCGAGCCCACGGCCUCGACCUUCUCGCGGAAUUCCCUCUCGGGGAGGCUCACCUCCUUGAGCCGCUUCACUGCCACCGUCGUCCCGCUCUCCAGCACCGCCGAUGCCGGUCCCCCGAAGAACACCAGCUUCUUCGCCCCCGCCCCGGCCCCGCCCGAAUCCCCCUUCGACGCAGCAGCUGCGGUAGCAGCAGCGCUAGCCGAUGCGGCACCGCCCCCCGCCGAAUGCCCAUUCUCCCUCCCUUCCGCUGCCGCGGAUUCUGGAAGCUUCCGCUCCACCGCAGCCGCAUCCGCCGAUCUCGUCUUGCUCCUACCGGCGCCGCGGCGCUUGCAUAGGAGGACGAGGAGGGCGAGGAGGAGGAGCGCUCCAAUGGCGCACCCCACCGCGAUCCCCGCGAUCGCUCCCCCGGAGAGCUUCUUCUUCUUCUUCGUCUUGUUGCUCUCCCCUCCUCCUCCUGCUCCUCCUCCUCCUCCGGGCCCCUCCGCGGGCGACGGAGCGAUCUCCCCCGGGCACAGGCCCAGCGGGCCACCGCAGAGACCGGUGGAGAGGAACGAGCUCGCGGGCAUUUUGCGGAGGCGCGAGGGGAUCGAUCCGCUGAGAUUGUUGAAGGAAACGUUGAAUUGGACGAGGCUCGGGAGAUUUAGAUCCGGGAUCUCGCCCGAGAGCUGGUUCUCCUCGAGGUAGAGGGUGCCGAGGCGGGUGAGGUUGUUGAACGCCGGCGAGAUCUCGCCGGAGAAGUUGUUGCCGGCGAGGUUGAGGCGCACGAGCUUGGGGAGGGCGAAGAUCGCGGCGGGGAUCUCGCCCGAGAGGCGGUUGCGCUGGAGGUAGAGGUUGCGGAGCUCGGAGAGCGCGGCGAGGUCGCCGGGGAGGGCGCCGGAGAGGGCGUUGAAGCGGAGGCUGAGGGUGCGGAGCGCGGUGAGGUUGCCUAGGGUUCCGGCGGGGACCUCGCCGAUGAGCCCCACGCCGGGGAGGCGGAGGGAGACGACGCGCCCCGCCGCGUCGCACCCGACACCCUGCCACGAGCACGCCGCCGCCGAGGGGCUCCACGGCAGCGCCGAGCGCCCCACGGCGCUCCGGAGCGCCUGCAGCGCCGCCGCAUCGGAUGCGGCCGUGCCUGGCGGCCGCCCGGCGCCCGCCGAUACUAGUAACGACGCGCCACCGGACGGCCCGAACGGCGACGGCGAGGCGACGGAGGUCUGCUGCAACUGCGGCGGCGGCGGCGGCCGCGGUGACCACAAUCGCGGCGCGGCGGUUACCCGACUCCGCCGAGGAAGAGAGAGAAACAGGGAGAGAGAAACAGAGAAGAGGGGAGUGUGAGAGUGGCGUUGGGCGUUGCAUAAACCCCUAAUAAAAAGUCUCCCGAUCGAAAUAAAUUAAUAUAAAUACAAUAAUAUAUAUGAUAAAUAAAUAAAGAAUUAUUAUUUUAAUUGUGUUUUUUAAAGCUUUUAGUUUUUUCAUUACCUAAAAAGAAAAAAAAAAAGAAAAAACUUGAGGACUGAGGAACCACAAAGAAUGUGAUGUAUAAGGAUUAUUUGCUUUAAAUUACACUCUAUAUUUUAAUGUGGAACCCUAAACCAACCCCCCCUAUAUGCGUUAGAUAAUAUAAAAACCAUUAAUACACAUGGAAUUAAAAAAAAUAUUAUAUAUAUAGUAAUUAUAUAUACAUUAAUAAUUUUAAAUUUUAUCUUUUAUAUUUUACUAACAGAACAUAUAAUCUGAAUAAAUUUAUGAUGAAUAACUAAUCGAUAAAAAUAUACAGAAACCUCUCAAUUACAAAUUAUUAUGAAAUAAUUAUUUUUUCAAUUUUAUCAAAUUUAAUGAUCUUUUUGUUAUUAGCCGUUAGCUAGUCUAGUUUUAUUUUUAAAAAGUUUAUUAAAUUUGCUAAAGUUAACGAUAAAUUUGAAAGGAAUUACUAAAAUUUUAUUUUAAAUAAUAUAAGAAUGAAAAAAGGAAUAUAAUUUUUUUUAAAAAAAAAUAAAUAUUAAAUUUCUGACACACUAUCCGCAUUAGCAGGUGCUCAGUUCCUCCCUCAGUUCAGUGUCCGCAGCUUUUGAGGCGCGCUUCGGUGUAACGCCCGCCUAUGUCACGUCUCUCCCGCUGACACGUGGGGCCCACGUAUAAGGUACGUGGUCCCCUUUUGUGGUCCUUUUUGGAGCGUGCCCUUUUAACCCUGGUGGGCCGGUGGCGGGAAAUCGCUUCGGUGUUACGCCCACAUGUCACGGUUCUUCCACUGACAUGUGGGCCCCACAGAAAAUAUAUACGUGGUCCCAUUUUACGGUCCGCGUUCGAGUGCCCUUUAUUUGCCCUGGUGGCGCGAAAUUCGUUUUCACUCACGCGCGGAGUGACGCCGAAAAAUUAAUUACAUGCACCCGGUGCACCGUACACCGUACACCUAUUUGAGAGAAUUUUUAUUUCGCUUAAUUGCACUAUACAAAAAUAUACUCUACAAAUUUUUUACACUUUCUAUAAUGCGACAUUUUUUUUUUUUUUUUCCACCGCUUCACUCAAAUCUAUAAUUUUAUAUGCAAGUUGUUUAAAAAUAUAGUUAAAAAAUGUCAAAGCAUAUGCUCAACUCAUUUUUAACAUAAAAAUAAUAAAUUAUACAAAAAUAAUUAUGGUAAACUUCAAAUACCAUUGCUGUGAUUUCGUAUUUUCUCACUUUACUAUCUUGUGGUUUAAAAUGUAUCAAAUUAAUAUCAUGUGAUUCCAUUUUUAUCUUUUCGUCAGCUUUUCUGUUAUAUUUCGUUAAAUUAUAUAUAAAAACUUCAGAUAUUCCAUCUAGAUUUAUCAAAUAUUCACUUUAAUACUCAUUAGUUUUAAUUUUGUCACUAAUUUAACGAAAAAAAUUAGUGAAAUCGAUAAUAAAAAGAUAAAAAUAAAACCACAGAAUAUUAAAUUGAUACACUUUAAACCACAAAGUACCUAUAGUGAGAAAGUAUGAAACCACAGGGGUGGUAUUUAAAGCUUUUCCAAAUAAUUAAAAAUAAGUUAAUAGAAACAUUCAUAAGGGUAUAUGGAGAUUUAUCUUGCCUUUCAACUAAUGUUUCUUAAUAAAAUUAUUAGAUUUUGUCUAAAAUAAUAGAUUUAUUAGCAGUAAUAUAGAGAUUGACAAGAAAAAAAAAAUUGCUUAGUGAUAUUUAUGCGAAAAGAAAAUAAUAUGAUAUUGAAAAAUAAAAGUAAAUUUAAAAUACAGUGUAGAGAUUAUAAAAUAUAAUAAUAUAACAUUUUCUUUGAAAGAAAAAAUAAUAUGAUGUAGGAAAUAAAAAAAAAACACUAAAAUAUAUUACAAUAGAGUGUAGUGAAGUCUUUUUAUUUUGAUAGAUAUUUUGUGUAAAAAUAAUGACAACAAAUCAAAUGCUCGUGGUUUUGUAAAAUUGCAAUUUUUUUUAUUUUUUUGAGCUAGUCGCUUCAUAUAUUUUUAUUUUUAUUUAUUUUUUUCUUAGAAUUUCGAAUAUCAAUAAUUAAAUUUUUUACCAAUUGUGCCGAAUUUUUUGAAAAAAUUUUAUUUUCAUGUUUAAAUUGCAUACUACUUUUGUUCAGAUUAUUACCAUCUCACGUAGCUUAACGAGAUUGGUUAUAUACAAAGUUUACCAUAAAAAUCUUAAAAUUUGGUAAAAUUGUAUGAAAUUUAUUUGAAUUGUGAUUCAUUUUAGUUCAGCUCUCUAUCCCGCAAGAAUUUUAGUUUUGUUGCCUUUUUAAAAUUGAAAAUAUUUAUUCAUUUUAGUAAUCCAAAAAAAAUUUCUACGUCAAUAAAUUAUGAUACUAAUUGAUAUUCUCUCAAUAGGUUUAUAUUUUCAUUAUUAAUAGGUAAAACGAGGCAUGAUUUACUUAAAUUAUAAACCAUUUAUAAAGUUAUAAUUACAAAAAUUAUAUAAAAUAUACUAAUUAAAUUUGUAAAAGUAAAUAAUGUAUUCAAAAUUUAAAAUUAAAAUAUUCUUUAUUGACUCAAAUAAAAUGAAUUGAAAGGUUAUAUAGUGAAUUCAAAAUUGUUGGUAAAUCAUUUCUCAAAAAAAAAAAAUGUUUGGUAAAAUCGACGUAUCCUCAUAAUAUUAUUAUAUAUAUUAUAUUAAUAUAUAUAUACUAUACUACUAUUACUAUAUUACAUAUAUUAUAUAUAUAAUUUAUUGUAGCAGUACUAAUCAUAAAGAGUUUUGGGCGCUGGCGUAUGAGAUUUUUACGUACACCACCGUGCAGGCAAUAAUUGCAUUGAAAAGCUGUCGCGCUACGUGCCGAUUUCCAUUGGUCGAGAAGAAGAGGCUUGGUUUUUCGAUUGGCCGCGCGCCAAUCGCGUCUAACCGGCAGGUGAGCAGGAGGUUGGACGAACCUGGCGUCGGCGCGCCUCCUCGGGUCGCGCGUAAUAAAUCGGCGAGGGAAUCGCCGUUGACGGCGUUAAUUCAGUUACUUUUGCAGUUGUGCUCCUUUCCAUUAAAUUAUAAAAGGUUAAUUUCGUACGGAUUCCUAAAAAUAAUAAAUUACAAAAAAAUAUCUACAAAGUUUAACUUUCAUAUAUUAUUUCUGUAAAAAUUUUAAUAUUUUUAAAUAUGUUAUUGUCGCUAGAAUUCGUUAGAAAAUUUUAAUUAAUCAUAGGUUAAAUGACAAAAAAAUUUUCUUUUCGUUUUUAAAAUUUUUUUAGGAAAAUAAUUUUUUUUCUUACGAAAAUUUUAAGAAUUAAAAUUUUUUUUUAUAUAUUGGUAUACAUUUACUGGCCAAUCCUUUAUUUUCGUUAUUUUUCAGUGUCAUUUCUAUAUUUCCAAACUAUAUAUAAAUAUCUCCCUAAAUUUUAUAUAUAUAUAUAUAUAGAGGGAAGAAUUAUCUCCAUCUCCUAUCUGUCACGUCCAUCAUCUCCAUAUUUUUUGUCAAAUUAUAUUAUCUAAAUCAAAAUAUAGUUACAAUUUAUUUUUAUUUAAUAGUGAGUAGGUGUUUAUAUAUAAAAAAUUUUAGGAAAAACUUCAAAAACCUUCUCUGUGGUUUCGCACUUUUUAAUUUUAAUAUCCUAAAAUGUAUCAAGUUAGUACCAUGUGGUUUCUUACUUUAUCACUUUAGUAUCCUGUAGUUUAAAGUGUAUCAAGUUAGUACUCUGUUGUUUUAUUUUUAUAUCAAGUUACUAUCCUGUGGUUUUAUUUUUAUAUCAAGUUAGAACCCUGUGAUUUUUAAACCACAUGGUACUAAAGUGAUAAAGUGCGAAACCACAGGAUACUAAAGUGAUAAAGUGCGAAACCAUAUGGUACUAACUUGAUACACUUUAAACCACAGGGUACUAAAGUAAAAAAGUGCAAAACCACAAGGUACUAACUUGAUACACAUUAAACCAUAGGAUACUAAAGUAAAGUAAAACCACAUGGGGGGUAUUUGAAGUUUUUUCAAAUUUUUAUCUAAUCAAACAAGUGAAAAAAAAAUAAAAAAUUAUUUUUAUUUUUUUUUUCUACAACCAAAUGCACAUAUAUGAAAAACUAUUUUUUUUUCUAUAGAACUAAACAACAUAAACUAGAAAAAAAAAUAUCACAAAAAAAUUUUUCAUCAGAAAAUAGUUUUCUACUAUUUUCCAAAGAACCAAAUAGGUCCUUAACAAGCAAACUCGUGCUCAGUUCGUUUAAUAAACAAAUGAACAUGAGAUGGUCCUAGCUAGCUCGUAUUCGCCUCGUUGGUGGUCCUAAAUAAAAUGUUAUUUGUAAACCCCAAUCAAGGUAUAUAUUUUACAACUUACUCAUCUAAUGAGUUAGGUUUUUUUUUACUAAUCAUAUCAAGUGACUAGCAAGCGACUUUUACCGUUUUGAUGGAUGGAACGUAAAAUUUACACUAACUUUUGAAUAUAUGAGUAAUAUUGCUAUAUUUUAAAAUGUUAAAAUACAGAAAGUUUUUUUGCAAAUACUUUUUCUUUUACUUUUCUUUCUUAUUUUUAAAAAUCUAUAUUUUCUCUUCUCAAAAUUUUAAAAAUAUUUUCAGAGAAUAACGAUAUUAAUGGGGAUGAAAAAAAUGACCAAUCUAUCAUUAUUUUUUUUAUAAAAAAUAUAUUUUUAAUAUAUUUCUAUUAUUUUUUAGAAUAUUUUGGUAUAUUUAAUUAUAUAUUAUAAGAAAUAUGCAGAAUAGUAAAAGAGCCCUGAUGGAGGAAAGCUAAAUGCAUCAAUUUAAAAUUUUGAAUGCAUCAGUUUAUAAUUUUUUUUUCGUAUUUUAGUCCUUUUAAAAUAAACAUCAUUUUUAUAUAUAUAUCCAAUAAUUUAUUUAUGUAAUAAAAAUACAGGCAAUAAAUGAAAGUUUUUGACUUUAGCACUUCAAGUUUAAAUUUUAAUUCUUUUUGCAAAUAAAUUUUAUAAUAUUUUUUUGGUAAAAUCAUACAGAAUUUGCCUGAGCUAUGGAUCAUUUUGAAUUAACUAUCUCAUCUCUAAAAUUCUAAUUUUACUACCCUAUCUUUUAAUUAUUUGAUUUGAAUCCAUUAAUGACAUUUUGAUUUUAAAAUUUAAAUGUAUUAUUUAUUUUUACAGUUUUAGUAUACUUAAUAUAAUUCUUGCAAGCAUAAAUUAAUUAAAGUAAAUAAUUAGCUUAAUUUUUAAAGUUAAAAUAUCGUUGACUAACUUAAAUCAAAUUAAAAAAUUAGAUAAUAAAAUAAAAAUUUUGAAAGAUUAUAUAGCUAAUUUAAAGCAGUAGAUAGUUCAGAUAAGUUCUAUAUAUUUUUACCCCCUUUUUUUAAAAAAAAUUGCUUUAUGUUUUAUUAGAUCACUAUUGCUGAAAAAAAAAGAAAAAGAGAAAAAACAUAACAAGGUCAAGUAAGCACCUGGGCCUCUGUGUUAGAACUUUAAAAAUCUUUACCGACUAUCCCUGGCACAAGUGGCAAAGAGCUUGGUGUUAGUAUCUGAAGUCCCAAGUUUGAAUCCUAGUUGAUUCACAUUUCCAGCUAAGUUUAUUUUUAAAAGAAAUAAACGAAACGGGUAACGUGCUAUCUAUCUCUCAAAAAAAAAAAAAAAACUCAAAAUCUUUGGUUUAUAAGGGGGGCAAUUCAUCCUAUGACUACUCUAAUUUUAACACGCUUAACUUUCUUCAUAUUUUUGGGCUAGCCAUUACUCAGAGUACUAUAGCCGGAUAACAAAUUUAGCUAUCUUUUAUAUAGAACUGUUUCAAAUCUUAAUUAGGGGUAUUACAUUCCUCCCACCCUAAAGUUUCGAUAUUCUCGUCAGGUUCAGCAGGCUCAGCUACAGUCACAAGCAUCAGGCGAUAUGAAAUUUGUCUCGCUAGCCUUAGUCGACCUUGUGAGGAGCCACGCUCCAUCGACAAUAGUCAUCAACCAGAUAGCCACGCUAUGUCCACUGUAUGACCCCGGCUAGUCGAGACUCAUCUCAUACUUUCGAUUGGUGAUUAGCUCUGAUACUAAUUGUAGUGCCUCACUUCGCAGGACAUCACCUAUCCCACGACUAUUCUAACCCUAAUGGGCAUGUUUGUUUGGGUGGAAGUGGGUGGAAGUGGAGAGGAGGGUCGUUUUCGCCUUAAAUGACCACUUCCGUUGUUUAGUUUGCCGUAAAAAAGUUACGACCGAAACUUGAGUUAACCUCAAACGGCGUAAUUGACUUCACCCCAUUGUGAGCCGAAGUCAAUUACGUUGAAAAGAGGUGAAAAAAAAUAAUAAAAUAAUAUAAUAGAUAAAGCUAGUUAUAUAGAAAUAUAUUGAAUUAUGUUACUAAUUAUUUUUUUAUUCAGUUAAUAUAUCUAAAAUAUGAUAAAAAUUGAUUAGUUAAGUUUUAAUUUUUUUAUUUAGUUUGUACAUUUAAAAUAGGAUAAAAAUUGAUUAAUUAAAUAUUAAUAUUUUUUUACUUUAUAAUUUUAUUAUUGUAUUACUGUAAUUUAUGUANUUGUAUUACUACAAUUUAUGUAUAAAAAAAUAAUUUAGUUAUUUUAAAUUAAAUUUUAAUUAUAUAAAAAUAUAAUUAUAUUAUUUUUAUUUAUUAAAAUAUUUAUUAUUUAUAUAUAAAUUAUAGUUUUAUAUUAUACACUUUCUACCAAACAAACAGCAAAACUGAUGGAGCUUCACUUCCAUAAUUACGAAACAAACAGCAGGGAAGAAGUAGUUUUUACCGAACUCCAAUUCAACCCAAAGUCCACUUCAACCCAAAGUCCAGUUUCGGUAAAACAAAUAUGCCCAAUACGUUUAACUCUUUUAACCUUUUGGACCUAAUCAUCUAAAAUAAUAUAAUCAGAUAAAAAAAAUAUAGUUAUCCUUCAUAUAGAACUAUUUUAAGUCCUAAUAAGAGUGUUACAAGUAUCCUCAAUGCUAAGACACUUAUUUGGAUUCUCAGUACUCCGAGGACCAAAACAAAAAAAGAAAAAAAAAAAAAAACUGUGGUUAGAGUGUUAGACUAGACCUGGCGAACGAGUGAAUUGAGUAACCCGCAGGCGGAUCAUUGUACCUAUAGAUGGUUACUUAGGCAUGGAUAAAAUUUACUCGUAAAUUUUUGGGUAGCAAACAUCUUUAUCCAUACCAGCCCUUAGUGGGCAUACAGGUUACCCGUAAUUUUUUUUUUCUUUUUUUCUCUUAUAUUUUUUAAAUGCAAAACACACACACACAUAUAUAAGGUUUAAAAGUGUAACAUAACUCAUUAUUUAAAAUAUUAUAACAUACAAUAAAAAUAUUUAAAGUCUUAAAACAAAAAUAUUUUAUAAUAUAAAAGACACGCGAUAAGAAAUUAGGAUUAUAAUUUUUAGAACGGAUAAAUAAAAAAAUAUUUUUUUAAUUAAAAAUAUAUAUUUUGUAAUUAAAAAAUAUAUGUGGGAGUACCCGUGGGUACUCACGGGUUAUACAAAAUACCCACAGCUUAAUGAGUGCCCAUCAGUUUUAUCUGUAAUUUUUUGGGUUGAAAAAAUUAGUAUCUAUAGUCGCAAAUUUACGGAUAGCCCGCGGGCACCCGCGGGUAUGGGUCGAGAUUUCCAGAUCUAGGUUAGACCACGGUCCACGCAAGAGGAGCGGGGACAGGGGGGAAGAUCGCCGAUUUUUUUGCUCUCAAACGGCGCCGUAUCGGAUAAUCCAGACCGUUCAAUGCAGCGGAUAAAGCGAGGGGCGUAGGCCGUCGGAUUGAGAUCGGAGGGCGGUGAAGAGAAGACGGGUUUGGUGGGGUUGGGGGCAGUGGGACCGGGGGCGGAGACAACCAGGAAUGAUGGGGACGUGCGCCGGUGGGCCCCACCACACGUGACAGCGAAGCAACAGUGUGUCUUACAUUUUGGCCGUGUGGGGGCCCACUAGCCACGUGGACUGACCGGCGACAGCUGUCGCUGCUGAUAUAAUUGGACGGCGAGGAUUGGUUGGUUGGUUGGUUGGUUCCGCCGUAAAAAGACGGGCGUUGUUUGUAGCCUAGACCGGGUCCACCACGUCAUCCGUCGACCGCACAACUACACUAUAAUAAGGGCUGUUUGGUUUUGGUGUAAUUUUUUGAUGCAGUGUAAUUGAGAAUGCAUACAGUUUUAAAAUAUGAUAAUUAUGAUUAUAUAUAUAUCUUUUUGAUUGGAUGCCGGAGAAAGUGCGGCAACUAUAAAUAUUUUUUUUAAUUAUGUUAUUAUGUAUGGUUUAUAAGCGUAUGUAUAACAUUUUAUUAUUUUAUAUUUUAGAUGAUGAGAUCGGAAAAAAUAAUUUUCUAUUUGGCAGAUUAUUGGGGGAUAAGCUUAUAUUUGCUUGAUGUUAAUCUCUUCAAUUGCUGCAGUCAGAACAAAAGUCAAUUUGAGUAUAAUUUCUUUUUUUUCUUUUUUUUUUUGAGAGAGAUAGGUAGCAUGCUACCCGCUUCGUUUAUUUCAUUUAGAAAUAAACUUAGCUGAAAAUGUGAAUCAACUAGCUGAAAAUGUGAAUCAACUAGGAUUCGAACUUGGAUCUCCGAUACCAACCACCAAGCCCGUUGCCACUUGCUUUUCAACUGAUGCAUUUGAGCCUCUUUAUACAAUUCCAAUUACAACGGUGAGAUUCAACUACAUGAAAUCACACUGCGAAUUUAAAUUUGUAUGUAGUUACAACUACAUGCAGUCAAAUAGUCUCUAAGGGGCUGUUUGGUUGUACGCAUUUGCAACUGCAGUGCAGUUGCAAAUGCGUGCAACCACAAUUCCUUUGUUUGGUUUAGUGUAGUUGAGUUCAACUGCUGCAGUUCCAACUGCACAAGAUGGCCCAAAUGCUGCAGGUGGAACUACAUCCAAAUUGGUCGUAGUUCCAACUGCAGCAGUUGGUGAGGGAUAGGAUCACCCACAAAUUAAUAAUAAUAAAUAAAUAAAUAAAUAGCUAAAUAAAUAAAUAAUAUAUGUAUAUAGGUAAAUAAAAAUACUUAUAAAUAAACUCAUACUAAUAAAAUUUUUUAGACAAUACAAGCUUUGUGCAAAAAAUUAAUUUUUUUAAAUUUAUUUUAUUUAAAAUAUAAAUAUAGUUUUUUUUUUCUAAAUUUUUAUAGAAUGUGAUCGUGUAUGUUAAUUUAAUAAGUUUUAAUUAAUUAUAAUUAUUAAAUUUGAUAAAAAAAAAAGAGAGAAUCGUUUAAAUUUUAAAGUUUGAUUUACAUAUUAAAAUUAAAUAAAUUAAAAAUUUUAAAUGUGUCGAUUAAUAAGUUGAAGAAUUAUUGAAAAAUAUAAAAAUAUUAUAUAUAUCUACUUAUUUAUUUAUAAAUAGUAAAUUUAAAUAAUUAAUAAAUUUAUACAAUUAUUUUAUGUUUAGUGAAGGUAACCUCACCACUCUAUCUGAAGAGGUGACAAAAUUCAUAAAUACAACUAUCAGCUUCAUAUUACCAAAUAGAAGAAAUGUAACUGCAGCAGUUGCAACUGCGUAAAACCAAACAGACUAGGUAUAGUUAUAACUGCAGCAUUUGCAACUGCAUGUAUUUCCAACUACACUGUUUCUGCAACUACAUCCAACCAAACGGCCCCUAAAUG